rnacentral:lncRNA from 1 species
CUCCACUCGCGUAUCUCUGUGGAGUGUUACCGAGGACAAAACAGUGUAUAAAGCUUUAUGUUCAAAGGCUCUAAAGUUAUGCUUUUUAACUGAUAAAAAAAAUGUGGAAAACAUUUGUGAAAUAAUAAACAUAACAGCUUAUAACUAAUUUCACAAAUAAUGUAUAUGAUUACCCUGCAAGUUUCAAACAGUUAUCGGUUGUGAUUAUCAGUAUUAAAAGCAUAUAAGUUUUGAAACAGAAACAUGUAAAACAAGUUUUAAGUACAAGUAAUCCCUUGUACUUUGCUUGUAUUCCCCCCUGAAAACAUUGAAAAACCAUUGAAAAAGGGUAGGGGUAAAAACUCACCAGACAAGAAGACGUAACUGUUUCGGACACUAAACGUUGGUUCGGGGCUUGAUUACAUGCGAGGUUCCUAUGUAAUAUGAAGUAAUAUCCAAAUGUAUCUAAUUAGAUUUAAAAAUACUAAUUAGAUGGAAUAUUACACUCCAAUGAGCUAAAACACUUCAAAACAAGUGUUUGGAGUGACCCGGGUGACAUAUACGGACGUGUAAUGAUGCAUGGGACUUGAGAAUUGAGUUUACUCUUCAAGAGUAAAAUCCUUAGGGAUUUUUCGGCCACAUACAACAUACACACAUGAGUUCACGUCCGUGAACUCAUGUUUGGGUAUUUUGGAGUGCUAAAUGGCUUGAUUACUCAUGGGAAAUGAUGGAAUGGAUUUUUCUAAAGCCUAGGAAUGGAUUGAAAUUGCAUGAAUAUCAUUUAUGGGAGUUCACGGCAGUAAACAUGGAGUUUACAGCCAUAAACUCCCUCCAUGUUCAAAACUUAAUUCAUUUGGUGAGGCUAGGACAAUCACAUGUGAUUCCAACUAUUUUUCCAAGUCUUGGUAUGACUUUUGGGCAUCAUUAGACACAUUUUUAUGAGUUUACGACCCUGGAACUAUUUCUUGGGAAGCUUUGGACGUAAACUCCUAAAUGGAGGGUGUUUGUCAUGUUUAAGGUCCCCAUUUUUAGAUGAUUCUAGGAUUUAUUCCAAGGCUAUUGGUGGAGUUAUAUGGCUUUUAAACAUGUUUAAAUGAGUUUACUCCCGAUGUAUGAGGAGUUUACGGCCCAAGCUUGUUCCUUGGACGUAAACUCUUAUUUUCUCCUCAAAAUUCAUGUUUAGGGUGUUCUAAGUCCGGAUUUGUAAGCCAUAAGGUCGUAUCUAAGUCCAAAUGUUGGUUUGGAGGGGUUAAAUUGCUCAAAAACCCAUGUUUUAGGUGUUUACGGCCCAAACAUGCUCCUUGGCCAUAAACACAUGUUCCAGGUCCAAAUUGAUAGAUUAAACACGAAUUUGAAGGCCUAAGAGGUUAAACAACAAGUUUGGGAUGUUACCUCAAAGAUUUGGAGCCUUAAUUCAGUGUUUUGGACAUUGAAUCUUUGGUUGAGGAGAGAGGUUAGAGAGAGUAGUGAGAUGAAGCAAAAGCUUCAAAUGGAAGUUUAGAACACUUCAAAUAGUGUUCGAGAUUUGGACACGGUGGAAUUCUACCUGAUACCGGCAUUAGACGGGGCUUUUGGUCGCACCCGACCAAGUUGCCGUAACCCGAUACGGCUGAUUUUGUAAAUGUUCAGAUUACUAAUACAGGGUGUUAGAAUAAGUUCUAAUUGCACUAGGACGCCCAUUAAGUCAUUUUAGAUAAUUACAAUUUAAUGACUUAAUUAAAUGGCUAAAUCGGAAACGAAUUUGGAAACGACGAUUGAUUGAUCGAAAUGGAUUACGAAAAGGGUUACAAGUAAUGAUAUGAAAUUUCGGGUUGUUACAAUGGGUUUUGGCCAUAAGAAUAUCCUAUGUACUCAUACAAACCCUAAUGCUUGGAUCUAGGUUUCUCUAUUGUACAUGCAAUUCCUCCAAGACUUUAAAUCCUAGAUCUAGAAUACAAUUAAUCAUAUUAACAUAAGAAUGGGGUUUAGAUCUUACCUUGAUUGUUAUGUAGCAAUAACAAUCUCAAAUCCUCCUUGUAAUGACUUUAGAAAGCUUAGAGUCACAAAUGUCACUCCUCUAAUGGUUCACAAACACCAAGAGCAAGAGGAUGAAGAAGAGAAGAGAAGAAGGCUGCCAAAAACGUGUGGAAACCCUAAUUAACAAGUUCACCAUGUUUUUGAGCCAUAAGGGUCCUUUAAAUAGAAAGGCUAUUAGGGUUAUCUUACAAGAAAACCCUAAUUUGGAUGCUUAAGCCCUAAGCAACCCAUGGACUCCUUCCUUAACAAGCCUUGGAAAUGGGUUUCCCCAUAGAAUUCGUCCAACCUUAUUUUAUAAGGUAAUCCAUAGCCCAAUUGUAAUUGUCUUAUAAUUACAAUACAGUCCCUUAAGUUUAAUUAAUCUCUUUUAGUCACAAACUUAAUUCUUAUUAAUUCUUGACUAAUAUUAAUUAAACAAUAUGAUUUCUUCUUUAAUAUAUUAUUCUCAUAAUAUAUUAAUAAAUCAUAUUUAAUCCUUUCUCUCCAAAAUUCAUCCUAUCAAGUUGCUUUGGUGAAGGCAACCCAAAAGGACCAUGCACCAUCGGGUCAAGUACAUACCAAAAUAGUUAUGGACUUAGACACUAAUCCAAUAGUUUCCCACUUGGAUAAGUCUAAUAACUAUUCUGCGUAUGACUUCAGAUCCUGAUCUGCAAUCGUAGCUUUCCAAAGCCGCUGUCAAUUAUGAUCUUAUCAGAUACGUGUGUCCUUUAGAUAAGGGAUCAUAUAUUCCUCCAUUCUAAAUAUCGUACAUAUAUAAGACAUGAAUUCUAAUCAUUCUCUCUAUACUAUUUCCCGACUUCCAAUUUAUGACAACUGACAACAGACUACAAUUGAUCACAUCAAAUCAGUCCCGGCUUGGCCAAGCGCUUAGGUGCCAUCACUAAAUCAUCGAGGGGCCCAAAGAUAUCGCUUUUAUCCUACUUUGGAUAAAAGGAACGGAUAAACUUUGAUUCAAUGCUCGUUUGCACUCACUUACCGAAUCACACACAACAAUAUGUUUUAUAACAGCAAGUUACUGGUGCAUUUGCAUAUUAUCAAUGUGCAACCGAUUCGCAAGAUACAACUCACACAUCUCGGUUUCAAGAAUAUAAGAUAUUAUCGUCUCACCAAUCACUCGUGAUAAAAUCCAUGAAGUGAUCCAAGUGAGCGUGGGUUUAAUCCAAUGCUCAAAUCAUAUUCAUAAGCAUUCAUGAACGUUGCAACAAACAUUUGCUUAUGUCUAAUACUCUUUAGACAAUCCACAUACGAAUUCACGACAGUCUUCAUUCAUACCUACUUCCUACAUAUGAACGACUGUGGCCCGUUCGAAUAAUUUGACUGUUCUAAACCAAUUAAAUUAUUCAAGAAGUCAAAACAUGCAAAGUGAAACACAAGAAUAAUACUAAUCCCAUAUGGCCUCAAACCUUUGAGUAUAAAUAAAACACCUUUUUAUUUAUCACCAUAUUGAUUACUCAUUAUUUGUUGUUUCGGGUAAUCAACUUCUUACUUGAAUUAUUACAACACUUGUACCAUGCUCUUUAGCACGCACACAAUGUUUACCAAUGGUUCUUACUUUGUAAAAUAGAUCAAAUAAACACAUUUCCAAUCAUACUGAUUUUACAACUCCCAAUCCUUUUUACAAGUGUAAGAAUAUCAAAUUCUUGUUGCUUAUAUAAUAUGCUAGAUUCUAACAUUUUAUACAAUGAUCCUUUCGUAUUGUCACAGCACAAAAGUCACAAUGACUAUUGCCAAUGAAAUUACAAAGUUCUCUAUGAUUGUUACAACACAAUUCCAUAGACGUGAUGUCUCUCAGUCAAAGGACAUUCCUUUGAACAUCCUUUUGCAUAAAAUUUCUAAUCUAGACAUAGACUUUCAAUAUCCAACUCCCAAUAUGGAAACAUUUCCAUAUUUUCCACAUGACAACUCAUUUUUAAUAGAAUCUUUUCUAUUCAUAAUAAUGUCGAUAUAGUCCAUCCAAUAUCAUACUUCCAACUUCUCACAAGCGACCAAUCUUCAUCGAACUUUGGAUCGUCCUUUGAUAGUUGUUUAAUUAUCUUAGUCAAGACCGAUUCUUGUCCUUUUUCCCUCUUAAUGCGCUAGACAUUUGGAAAAUUUUAGAAUGGUCAAAUAUUAUAGCAUUUGCAAUCGAUCCUAUACCCGAAGUGUAUGGGACACGAUGCAUAAUGUCUUACAUAAAGAUCUGAUACUUUUUCAAUCUUCUGCCAUAAUAUUUUAUGUGCUAUGUUCUCACAAUUCGAACUAUGAAUAGGAAUGUUGUUAUCAUAAUCGAAAUUUAAGAAUGCACUAUGUAUCCUUGACUAAAUUUAUUAACAUACCACAACCUAAGCCUUUAGAUUUGAAAUAAAGCAUAAUAUUCUCUCCCUUAAUUAUAGAAAAACAACUAUUCAACCCUUACGACUUUGCAAAGUAUGAAUCUUAUUUUCUAUAAUUAAUAUUGCUAACUUGCAAUACUUGCCUUAAUAAUCAUACAAGCAUAACAUUUAUGCUCCCACUAUCACGAUGAUUAUUAUAAACAUAACACUUAUGCUCCCACUAGCUUUGACAUGUAUUCAGAAACAACUUAACUUUCAGAAAAACAAUACCUAUUGAAUUUCUUAAAUUCAUGUUUCUAAUACCUAAUGCUUUGAUAAUCCUUUAUCUAAGCUUAUACACCUUUCCCUUAGAUAUCUCAUAUGUGUGUCUAAACAAUUCAGACUAAUUACCAAAUCUCACAAUUCGAAUCAUGGAAAGGGAUACCGUAACCAUAAUCGAAUUCGAGAAUCCAAUUUUCACAAUCACUAUCUUCGUAAAAUCUCUCUUAGUGAAAGCAUUUCCUCACAGUCACUUUCAUGAAGGAGGGAAUCUUAGGACAUUUAGAUUUUAAUGGUGUAUGUGUUCCUAUCCAUGUGAAUUUGUCAAAACCAAAGUCUACGACAAACUCAAACUCAUAUGGACCGAACCUUCUCAAUCUUGAUUUCUUGCCUUAUGAUAACACAAAUGCCCACCAUGUCUUCCAAGUAGUUAAGCAACUCACCCUUUCCUAUCAAUUUACUUUCAAUUGAUCAAGUUGCUUUCCUUUUAUCCGGUCAAAUGAGAACUCAUAGAACUCACAUGCAUAAUUAACUCGAUUGGAAUGACACAGAAACAACAUGGUGUCAACACGAUAAGUUGUAAACCUCAACUCGUGUGCUAGUGAUGAUCUAUAAGGUUUAUUCUUGAUUAGUUCUUNUCUUGAAACCUUUCAAGACCAUUAAGACUCCCACUGACUCCUUGACAUAUAAGAUUCUUUUGUCAAUAAACAUUUCUUGACAAACAAAUAUUCAAGAGUUAGUGUAGCUUUUACCAAGACAAAACAUUUCAUAAAAUUGGUCCUAGUUGGUCUUUGUCUUAUCCAAGACAUCACAACUUUCCACAUUUUAUGAAUGUCAUAAACCUUCUUAAGACUUUUCAUUCAAUGUCACAAUCUUAACUCUAAGACUUGUUUCUGGAACAAAGUAUGAUUGACUUCUUGAUUUAACUAUUUCUUCAAUUCUCGAUUCCUCUUUUCAGGCAUACAAUUGUACUAAUACUCACUUAGAGGAUCAAUUGAGAUAUGGUUCUUAAUCAUUAAGACCUAUCAUAAAGCAUAAAAGGUACUCUCCCUUCUUCUUAGAAUGGAGAAACUUUUAUCUUUCUGCCUACUUUAUUCUUCUUAUUCGUUCUGCUAUUGAUUUAAACCUUUUCAAUCAAUUCAGAAUUACACUUAAUCUUAUAAGUAUAAUCAUAUUUACCAAACCUUUAGUAAAUCAUGACGAAUAUCUUUGUUACUCUUAUGGUGGACUUUGAUCAACACACAACUUUGCGUACUCGAUCUCCUAGUCCUUCACUUGACACUUUGUCAAUGAAUUAGUCUAAUUUCCAAAUAUGAAAUUUCUCAUUCAUCGUGCAACCAAGUUGCAUGAUUCUAAGUUUCUGUCUAAUUGAAACUUGGGCGAUGAGAAACUCUCCUUAUUUGGUAAAUUUUCGACAUUUCCAUAAUUAAGAAUCAAAUCCAUUAUUGCUAAUAAUAAAAACAUUCAAAAAUCAAUUUUUCAUACACGCCAUUGCAAGGAUCAAUAAAUAAAUAAAAUCAAAAUUUAUUUUAUUGCGGAGAAAAUUUGUCCUUACAAUGCAAUUCAUUGAAAAACUAUGCUAAUACAUAUUUCAUAGCAAUCUAAUUCUAACUUUAAGUAGUAGCUCAAGAAUCUAAUCUUCAAGUAAUGCGACCGAAAUCCAUUUUUCACGGUUGGAUUCUGAUCACUUCUUCCCUUAAACUUUCUCUCUUUUCUUCGAUCCUACAAAACGUCAAUUGUAAUCUUAUCACAUUAUGUAUUAAGAAUAUAGAAUAGGAGCUUAAAAGAGUUAGUCAAUGAAUUUUACCUAAAGUAGAGCCAUAUGUUUUGACUCUCCCAUCUCUUAGAUCUCUNUAAGGAAGCUUCGUCUCCAAUGCCCCUUCUCUUGGCAAUAAAAGCAAAUUGACUCUUUUGGAAUAGCACAUGGAACUACUUCAGACUUUGCCUUUCUCUUAUGAUCAAACUUUUCGAUCAUGGCAUGCCUUUCGUUUCCAUUGCCUAUAUCCAUGGAAGUCUAGAAGGCAGAUUCACCAAUCAUCUUUGCUUUUCCAGUGCGCCAAAUCAUUGUUGAUUCAGCAGCAAUAAGCAUGUAGGUGAGAUCUAUAAGGGUCACGUUCUGGUUCAACAUAUAGUACUUUCUUAAGAAUCCAGUCAACAGCCAGCUCCUCACAGACAACGGAUCCUAACAUUCUNNNNNNNNNNNNNNNNNNNNNNNNNNNNNNNNNNNNNNNNNNNNNNNNNNNNNNNNNNNNNNNNNNNNNNNNNNNNNNNNNNNNNNNNNNNNNNNNNNNNUUUCCGAAACUGACAAACAAAAAAGGAAGUGAGUUAGACAAAAAAGAAGCUAUUUGGACAAAAAGAAUCGAAGUGGCUUAUACAAAUCUUUUUUGUCGAUAACCUCAGACCAAUUAAUCGAAUAUUGAUUAAUACGUAAUCGAUCGAACACUACUUGAAAACGGAUCUUCUGCUCAGAAACAAUAUGUUCCUGGAAAUUCUUGCUCCCAGUGGACCAUUUGUAUCUAUAUGCAUCAGGAUCCCGAUUCAUGGAUCUCUUGGUUCGAGAAAAAAAAAUAAGAGGAUCAAACCAUCUCUUCUGACUCUUUUUCAAAUUCGAUAAAUGUUGGUUGAUCAUAUAUUUCAUUAGAGUUCUAUGAUUCAGAGUAUCCUUUCCUAUUUGAUCCCUUUGAAUUCCAUAUUUGAAGUUGCGAUCGGAUCUAUUCAUUAAAAAGAAUCGAUUCAAUACAUUUCUUAUGUACCUAUGGGUGCUAUGUUGGAUUUGAAUCAGAUUUCGGAUCAAUCUAUAUUGAUUGGCUGCCUCCAUUAUGUUGUUGCUAGCAAAUACCACUAUUUUUGGUUUUGGCUCUUCCAAAUCAUUCCCGCAGGAGAUCCGGACCCUUAUUUUUUUGAUCCUUCGAUAAAAAGAUUCAUUCUCCUCAUAAAAAAUAGGAAGUAGAACCAAUAAAACCAAUAAAGAUGUCGUUCUCCAUUCAUACCUAGAGUUGAAUACCCCAUUCAAGAGUUUUUUUUGGAUCCAAUCUCUUAUGAUACACCAGAUCCGGCUCGGUUAUUGAUAGAGUGAAUAAAUCUUUCAGUUCUUGAAAUCUCUCUUCUAAUUCAAAAUCGUGGUGUAUCGUGUAUCCUCCCCUGUUCCGGUCAUGGAAUAGAUGAAAUAAAUCAAAAAAUGGAUUUUUGUUCAAGAAUGAAAUCUUGUUGGAACUGUCCAUAUCCGGUUCAUCCUUCGGAACCAUAUCACAUCCCGAAUUUGAUGAAAUAGGAUGAAUUGACACGGUAUUUUGUAACUACGUAAUUAUGUUGAAUAGAUUAACCAUUUCUUUAUUUUUUGAUCGCCUGAGACAAGAAAGAUCUUGUUGUUUCUUCAAUAAUUUAUGAUCUCUUGUGGACCUCUCAGUAGGAUUCGAACCCAGACGAAAUUCUGACCAUCUGUCAGAGAAAAAAGAACGAACGGAUCUUGUAGGAUUCCCAAGAAAUUCUUCGAUUUCUUCAGGAAGCAGAUGAUUAAUCAUCUGCUUCUCACGUUCCGUGAAUAGCCGGGACAUUGAGGAAUAUCCAGAAAGGCAUUUCGGGAAUCGGUUUGAUUCUAUCUCUGUUCCUUCCGUUUGAAGAAAGGAAGGAUCCCAAAGAAUCGAUCUUUCUUUUAGUUGUUGAAUCUCUCUUUGAUUGAUCAAUGUGUGAUAUUCCGAAUCCUCAUUACUAAUGGAAUCAAAAUGAUCUCUGGAUUGAUCAGAAGAUCCUUUCAAUUGGCUAGAAUCCCUUACUUGAACGAAACUAGAUCUUGUGGAAUCAUAUUGAAUAUUUGACGAUACAUUCCGUACCUUGCGAAAAAACCGAUCCUUGUUUACCAACCACACAUUGUCUAACCAAAUCAAAUUCUCUCUCGAUACGUUCCUCAAAANUAAGAUCCGAUUCGGGCGGAUUCUACCCCCAACUAACGAAGAGAUGUUGGUGGAAUUGCCACAUAUGAAACUGAGCACAAUUUUGCAAAGAAAUAGNNNNNNNNNNNNNNNNNNNNNNNNNNNNNNNNNNNNNNNNNNNNNNNNNNNNNNNNNNNNNNNNNNNNNNNNNNNNNNNNNNNNNNNNNNNNNNNNNNNNUGUUCAUUCGCAAAAAAAUAUUUUCUUUGUGCGUCGGUAAAAAAACAUGCUUUUUGGGGGAGACAUACUAUUUCAGUAAUCGAGUCACAGGUAUCUAACAUAUUCAUACCUAAGGCUUUUCCACAAAGUGGUGACGAAACGUAUAACUUGUACAAAUCUUUCCAUUUUCCAAGUCGAUCCAAUCCAUUCGUUCGUAGAGCUAUUUACUCGAUCGCAGACAUUUCUGGAACACCUCUAACAGAGGGACAAAUAGUCAAUUUUGAAAGAACUUAUUGUCAACCUCUUUCAGAUAUGAAUCUAUCUGAUUCAGAAGGGAAGAACUUGUAUCAGUAUCUCAAUUUCAAUUCAAACAUGGGUUUGAUUCACACUCCAUGUUAUGAGAAAUAUUUACCAUCCGAAAAGAGGAAAAAACGGAGUCUUUGUCUAAAGAAAUGCGUUGAGAAAGGGCAGAUGUAUAGAACUUUUCAACGAGAUAGUGCUUAUUCAACUCUCUCAAAAUGGAAUCUAUUCCAAACAUAUAUGCCAUGGUUCCUUACUUCGACAGGGUACAGAUAUCUAAAGUUUUUAUUUUUAGAUACUUUUUCAGACCUAUUGCCGAUACUAAGUAGCAGUCAAAAAUUUGUAUCCAUUUUUCAUGAUAUUAUGCAUGGAUCAAAUAUAUCAUGGCGAAUUCUUCAGAAAAAAUUCUGUCUUCCACAAAGGAAUCUGAUAAGUGAGAUUUCGAGUAAGUGUUUGCAUAAUCUUCUUCUGUCCGAAGAAAUGAUUCAUCGAAAUAAUGAGUCACCAUUGAUAUCGACACAUCUGACAAAUGUUCGGGAGUUCCUCUAUGCAAUCCUUUUCCUUCUUCUUGUUGCUGCAUAUCUCGCUUGUACACGUCUUCUCUUUGUUUUCGGGGCCUCUAGUGAGUUACAGACAGAGUUCGAAAAGGUCAAAUCUUUGAUGAUUCCAUCAUCUAUGAUUGAGUUGCGAAAACUUCUGGAUAGGUAUCCUACAUCUGAACCGAAUUCUUUCUGGUUUCUGAAACAAUUAGGAGAUUCUCUAGGUGGCAACAUGCUAUUGGGUGGUGGUCCCGCUUAUAGGGUCAAAUCAAUACGCUCUAAGAAGAAAUAUUUGAAUAUAAAUCUCAUCGAUAUCAUCGAUCUCAUAAGUAUCAUACCAAAUCCCAUCAAUCGAAUCACUUUUUCGAGAAAUACGAGACAUCUAAGUCAUACAAGUAAAGAGAUCUAUUCAUUGAUAAGAAAAAGAAAAAACGUGAACGGGGACUGGAUUGAUGAUAAAAUAGAAUCCUGGGUUGCAAACAGCGAUUCGAUUGAUGAUGAAAAAAGAGAAUUCUUGGUUCAGUUCUCCACCUUAACGACAGAAAAAAGGAUUGAUCAAAUUUUAUUGAGUCUGACUCAUAGUGAUCAUUUCUCAAAGAAUGACUCUGGUUAUCAAAUGAUUGAACAACCGGGAGCAAUUUACUUACGAUACUUAGUUGACAUUCAUAAAAAGUAUCUAAUGAAUUAUGAGUUCAAUACAUCCUCUUUAGCAGAAAGACGGAUAUUCCUUGCUCAUUAUCAGACAAUCACUUAUUCACAAACUUCGUGUGGGGCUAAUAGUUUGCAUUUCCCAUCUCAUGGAAAACCCUUUUCGCUCCGCUUAGCCUUAUCCCUCUCUAGGGGUACUUUAGUAAUAGGUUCUAUAGGAACUGGACGAUCUUAUUUGGUCAAAUACCUAGCGAAAAACUCCUAUCUUCCUUUCAUUACGGUAUUUCUGAACAAGUCCCUGGAUAACAAGUCUCAAGGUUUUGAUAAUAUUGAUGUUGAUGCUAGUGACGAUAGUGAUGCUAGUGACGAUAUUGAUGCUAGUGACGAUAUCCUUGAUAUGGAGCUGGAACUGCUAACUAGCAUGAAUGCGCUAACUAUGGAUAUGAUGCCUGAAGAUGAAGACCUACUUUAUAUCACCCUUCAAUUCGAAUUAGCAAAAGCAAUGUCUCCUUGCAUAAUAUGGAUUCCAAACAUUCAUGAUCUGGAUGUGAAUGAGUCGAAUUACUUGUCCCCAGGUCUAUUAGUGAACCUUCUCUCCAGGGAUUAUGAAACUAGAAAUAUUCUUGUUAUUGCUUCGACUCAUAUUCCCCAAAAAGUGGAUCCCGCUCUAAUAGCUCCGAAUAAAUUAAAUACGUGCAUUAAGAUACGAAGGCUUCUUAUUCCACAACAACGAAAGCACUUUUUCACUCUUUCAUAUACUAGGGGAUUUCACUUGGAAAAGAAAAUGUUCCAUACUAAUGGAUUCGGGUCCAUAACCAUGGGUUCCAAUGCACGAGAUCUUGUAGCACUUACCAAUGAGGCCCUAUCGAUUAGUAUUACACAGAAUAAAUCAAUUAUAGAUACUAAUACAAUUAGAUCCGCUCUUCAUAGACAAAUUUGGGAUUUGCGAUCCCAGGUAAGAUCGGUCCAGGAUCAUGGGAUCCUUUUCUAUAAGAUAGGAAGGGCUGUAGCACAAAAUGUACUUUUAAGUAAUUGCCCCAUAGAUCCUAUAUCUAUCUAUAUGAAAAAGAAAUCAUGUAACGAAGUGGAUUAUUAUUUGUACAAUUGGUACUUCGAACUUGGAACGAGCAUGAAGAAAUUAACGAUACUUCUUUAUCUUUUGAGUUGUUCUGCCGGAUCGGUCACUCAAGAUCUUUGGUCUCUACCCGGACCCGAUGAAAAAAAUGGGAUCACUCCUUAUGGACUCGUUGAGAAUGAUUCUGGUCUAGUUCGUGGCCUAUUAGAAGUGGAAGGCGCUCUGGUGGGAUCCUCACGGACAUGCAGUCAGUUUGAUAAGGAUCGAGUGACAUUGCUUCUUCGACCCGAACCAAGGAAUCCCUUAGAUAUGAUGCAAAAUGGAUCUUGUUCUAUCCUUGAUCAGAGAUUUCUCUAUGAAAAAGACGAAUCGGAGUUUGAAGAGGGGGACGAGCGGCAACAGAUAGAGGAGGAUUUAUUCAAUCACAUAGUUUGGGCUCCUAGAAUAUGGCGCCCUUGGGGCUUUCUAUUUGAUUGUAUCGAAAGGCCCAAUGAAUUGGGAUUUCCCUAUUGGUCCAGGUCAUUUCGGGGCAAGCGGAUCGUUUAUGAUGAAGAGGAUGAGCUUCAAGAGAAUGAUUCGGAGUUCUUGCAGAAUGGAACCGUGCAGUACCAGACACGAGAUAUAUCUUCCAAAGAACAAGGCCUUUUUCGAAUAAGCCAAUUCAUUUGGGACCCUGCAGAUCCACUCUUUUUCCUAUUCAAAGCUCAGCCCUUUGUCUCUGUGUUUUCACAUCGAGAAUUAUUUGCAGAUGAAGAGAUGUCAAAGGGGCUUCUUACUCCCCAAAAAAAUCGUCCUACAUCUCUAUAUAAACGCUGGUUUAUCAAGAAGACGCAAGAAAAGCACUUCGAAUUGUUGAUUAAUCGCCAGAGAUGGCUUAGAACCAAUCGUUCAUUAUCUAAUGGAUCUUUCCGUUCUAAUACUCUAUCCGAGAGUUAUCAGUAUUUAUCAAAUCUGUUCCUAUCUAACGGAACACUAUUGGAUCAAAUGACAAAGGCAUUGUUGAGAAAAAGAUGGCUUUUCCCGGAUGAAAUGCAAAUUGGAUUCAUGGAACAGGAUAAGGAUUUCCCAUUCCUUAGCCANAUCUGAACUGUUACAAAGACCCAACAUGCAUUUUUGGUGCAUUGGGCUCUUUCAUUAACAGAUAUAAAUAUCAGCUAGUCCGCCAUUAUUAUUUUUUACCAAAAAAUAAGGAGAUGGCUCCAUGUGCUCUGAGUCAUUAUGUGGAUUCAGAUUCAAGAACACUACCAAAGUUUUUCAAAGGGGGUUAUCUUGACGUAGGUCUGCCUCUGGCUUAGAUUAACCUAAGUGAAAUGAAGUCUAUAUUUUUAUAAAGCAUUCUAAGUCAAAGGAGGGUCUUGUGAAGGCAAAAAGAGGAGUGUGCAGGGGGGUUUUAGGGAGAAAAGGUGAUGAGAUUUGUCAUAGCCACAUGGUUUUUUGCUUGGGAAGGAAAAUAAGAGUGAAUUACUCUUUACCCAAAAGAGAAAAAAGGACAAUAUGCUUUUCACAAACACAAUUUUUGUCCAAAUUUCUUCAAUUAAAGAGCACAGCAAGAGUAAAUGAGGAGGAAAAGUCUUCAUACCUUAAGAAGAUUUCAAGCUGUUGGGUAAAAAAAGGAGCACCACUUCAAUGAAAAUAAGCCCAUAAUUGUGUCUUCUCAUUUCCAAGGCAUAAAUAAAAUGCCUGGAGCAAAUCUUCAACCUUUUAAGAGACCACAAAAAUUAAUUUCUCUUCCCAUUUUUCUUCAUAUCUACAACAGAAAAACAAUAAGAGCAUGAAGAACAUCAUUUUUUAGCAAUAAUAGAAUGAUCAGCAGCAGCAACAUUUUUAUUUUGUUGAGAUAGAAUCACCCAAAUGAUAGAAAUAAGAAAGAACAUCAUAAAAAAAAAUUCCGGUUUGCAACAUGAUUUUUCUUUCUUGCAGAAACACGGAAAAAUUACAAGAUAAUCACCGAACGGGAGUCGUUCCGUUGAACUAAUCGUGAGAUCUUCAAGGUACGGCUCUGAUACCAAAUGUAGAGACCCGUUUUUCUAACGAACGGUGAGUGCAGAAGAAGGAUAUCUCGAGAUUAAUUGUGUUUUUGUAAGUAUGAACACGAAGAACAUAUUAUGAGUUCAUAAGAAAAGACGAAGAACAAAGAGAGAAUAUUCAUAAUAUUGCAUGAAGAACUUGGUGGGAGAGAAACUCUCCAUGGGUGGGAGAACCCACCACUUUCACUCUCUAGGAUUAUAUUGUAGAAAAGUAAUCACUAACUUAGAAAAGAAAUGAGCUAGCUAACUUAGGAAAUAAAUGACCAACUCUCCCUUUACAUAGGAGGGAGAGUAUUUACACCAACAGUACAAAUAAAGGGAAAAUAUAACCUAACUAUCACUCAUUAUUUGUGGAGCAUUUACAUGCACCAACAACUUCUAAACCAAAACCUCUAUUUCUCGGGGCUUUUUAAUGCUUCGGAGCUCCGCUACUAACCCUUAGGAAGUGAUAGAGAAUGGCCUUGGGACCUUGGGGGUUUGGGAGAGAAUGGAAUGGAAAGGAAAGGUGUGAAGAAAUGAGUGAAAUUUGGCUUUAUUUAUAGGCUGCCCGGGGGCCUCUCAUGUCGUGAGACAUACCUCUCACGUCGUCAGCAUGCGUAGGUAAAACUAUACAUCUUCAAAAAUCAUAACUUUUGCAUAUGAGCUCCGUAUUUGACAUUCUUUAUAUCCAUGCGUAGGUAUUUCCGAUUACUACAACUUUCCCUUUGACCCCAUUGGCUAACUCGACUGAUCUUAAAUUUAAUAGUGUGAGAAGAUUACAUUGUUAAUGACCGUGUAAAAUUCAUAACUUCUACAUACGUACUCCGUUUUUGAUUAUCUUUUCACCGUUGAACUCCUAUUAAUGAGAUCUUCAAUUCUUAUUUAGAUCUUUUUAGCUAAAAGUCGAUCAAUCUAGAAUUCGAUUUAUGAGUUAUAUACUGCUAUUCUGAAACUUCAAAAAAUCAUAACGACCUCCAAUGAAGUCAGAUUUGGGCGUUCUCUAUAUGCACGCUCUCGGUUUAACAACUACUAUGACUUUCAUUUAGAUGACUAAGGCUAAAAAGUAAUUUAUCAAAAAAUUACUUUUUAUGAUACGCAUGCUUGUUUAAUCGAGAAACUUCGAAGAAGCGUAACUUCUUCAUACGAAGUUAGAUUUUAGCAUUCUUUAUAUGUAUGGAAUGAUGCUCACAUCCAUUAUAACUAUUGUUAAGAUUAUUUUUCCUAAAUAAUCUUCUAUCAAAAAGUCAUUGUAAGUCCCUAAUUUUCCUGAGUAUCAAUCAAAUCUGUUUGAUGGUGCGGAAUCCCAAUCAAAUGGAUGAUGUCAGAUCAAAUAGAAGAGAAUGAGAAAAAGAAGAUGAUGAAUCUUGUAUGUAUUGAUAUGAAUGAAGAUCCGGAUACAAAAGAUUCACACACACUCGUUUUUCUCUCUCUAGGCCGUAAACUCCUUGUGUUUUCAUCAAUCUCUACUCCUCACCCUAACACCUAUAUAUAUACUAGGAAACAUGGGCUAACUGAACAUGGGCCGUAAAUGGGUUUACGGCCGUAAACUCAACCGUAAACCCCANCCCAAAACCCAAACCCAAACCCCCCCUUAGCCGUAAACAAGACUGUAAGCUAAUAAAAUAUUACAUAAAAAUAUAACUGCCCAGAAAAGCAAAGUAUAAACCAUAUUUUGACCCAACAAUGUUCCCCUAGGUUUAUUGCUUUCUUUUCUUAAUUAACCCAACAAUCAAAUCAGCUCAGGAAAGGACAGAAACCCCUAAAGGCUGAAUUAGAAGCAAAAAGUAAGGACUUUAGGAAACUUCAGGAAGACUAUAGUAAUAAAUGUGAAAAUUAUGACUAUAUAAAGAGUCAGAAUGAUGAGUUACUUACUGAGCUUGAUACAUUAGAAGGGAAAUUUGAAACUGCGAAUGUUGAUUUUAAAAAGUUUGAUGUAUCAAGCGAGGUAGUUUCCAAUAUGAUUGACCAUUGCCUGCAGUUCAAACAAAACCAUCAAAAGGGUUUAGGAUACGAUAAUGUACCUCCUCCUUUUAAUCAUACAUAUAAGUAUCAACCUUUGUCUAAAGAGGAGAUUGCCAACGAACCAUUCAUGGUUUAUGGCAAGCCAUCUGGUUUUGUUUCAGGAGGAUUUAUUAAUGUUGAAAAUACUUAUGGUUCUACUUCGUGUGCAGGAAAAGUAACCGAAGAUGAGAAUAAGGAGAAAACCAUUGAACAAACCAACAUCUCCUUGAGCUCUGAAUUUGUUGCUGCGAACUCGGCUGCUUCUAAUCAACCUGCCGUUGAGAAAUACAGGCCUCCAAUUCCAGCACAACAGAGUGCUUGUUGCAAAUGUGCAUGUGGGAACAAUAAGAGUCAAGGAAAGGAUACGCCACCAGGGGCAGGAAGAAACAACUUCACAGUGAAGAAAAAGACAUGUUUUCACUGUGGAACACCUGGACACAUUGCCUGAAACUGUCCAACUCGCGCAUACGUUCCUUACUAUGCACAAGGCUGGCAGAACGCGCCUAGAUGGAGAUUUUUCAAAAGAAACCCCUCAAGGUCACGUUCAGACAAUGCAGACUGGAAUGUCAUGAAGGCUAAGCAUCCAACUCCCAAGGCCAAUCAUCCAACUUCCAAGAACAAGAAGGGAAUGCUGGCCCAGAAGUCUAGUUCAAGCGAUGCUCUAGUGAAACAAAGACCGGUUAGGUCAAAGUCAUCUCAACGGCCGAUAUCCAUAUCAAAAGCAAGUGCCAAGGCACCCAUCUGAUCCAACAAGAAAUGGGUUAAACCUGACUACAAAUGGGUACCAAAGGUUCAAUCUCCCGACUCAAUUAAGAUUCUAAUAUUUCUACAUCUUCUGUUUGUGAUAAGCAGGAUAUGUCAUGGGAGAGAGUAUCUUGCAUUGAUGACAAAGGUCGACCCAGUUUCAAAAUGGACUGGGUUUCAAAGACCAAUUAAUCCCGCUCUGUGUCGGAGCAGAUAUGGAGGCAUAUCAUCAGACUUCGGUUUGUUGGUAGUGGUUGUUCCAGGCACAUGAUAGGGGACAUUUCUCAGCUGUACAACACUCAGAACAUUAUUUGAGAGUAUGUGUCCUUUGCGGGAUGGCAAGAAAGGAAGAGAUCACUCAUGGGGUUAGUGCUUAACGAUGUGAAGAAUUUUUGGAUCUGUUAUGAGAUUAUGUGUGUUGUUCUCAGACCUUCUGGAUGCAAAUUCAAUCGGUGACUUACGGUUUGAAUUUUCUUCUCUAUAUUCCUGAGUUUUUCUUAAGCUGAUUCGCUUUAAAGACUAAUUUUUGUUUUAGGAUAGUUUAAAUUUAGGCAUUUACUUUCGUUUCUCUCUUAUGCACAAAUUUAGGGGGAAAAACAAAAAACAAAAAACAAAAAUUAGAAAAUUUAAAAUUUAAAAAAUACAAAAAAUUAGAAAAUCAGAAAAUCAAAAUAUGGUGUUAAUGGAAUGUGUUUGCAUGAGAUGUUUUGGGACAUAAAAUUAGCAAGUGAUAACGGGAAAUCUGAAUCGACAUAACGUACCUAAGUUGAAUUGUCUACGCUCUGUAUUCGAUGCGUUGGUAGGCACGAAAGAUUUUAAAUGGACUUGACUAGGAGGAGUUAAAACUUAAGAAAUUCAAGGACUUGACAAACAUUGACCUAGUUAGAUCUGUUUAGUCUGACAAUACGACGCUCGGAUAGGUUGAGCAGAGAGAUAUACAUGGGACUCUACCGAUCACAUUAAAUAACCCGUAUCUAGAACUGUGGAUUCACUUUUCCUCGAUGUGCGGAUUUUGUCCUUAAUUCCGUUUGGAUGGGGCGACUGGUAGAUUCCGAUAAAUUAGGUCUGUAGAAAAUUGUUUUCUUUCUUUCUGUCUGUUAGUCAUAUGUUGCCUCCUCUGCAUGAUCGGGAGAUCCGACCUGGACUGUAACAUAUGCAACUCUAUUUCUCUGCAUGUUAUAUAUAUGAAAUUCCUGUUAACUGUUAGCCAUAUGUUGUCUCCUUUGCGUGACUUCCUAUCCGACCAGGAACACAACAUAUGCAACCUUCUACUUCUCAGUCCCUCUAAAACAAUAAGUAAUAGAAUUCAGAAUCUAUCCUCUCUCUGAAUGAUUGUCUGCUCACCCGGUGUAAGGAGUACUCUGGAAGUUCUUGAUGGCUGGGGCAUAUCAAGAAGCGGGAAACAUGUUCUAGUACACUUAAAAUUGAACACAUACAGACUUUCUGUAGAUCUCGCUGCUCGAUUUAGGUCAACAACAAUCUCCCUGGUUGUAGUCAGUUAAAUGGUCUUAAGAAAAAUUUAUUUAAGAAUUAGGGCCAAUCAUGAUAAUAAAGUUACAGUUAGAUAUAUGCAUGUAUCAUGUCAUUGGUAAAUUGUCCAAAAUUGUCACAAAUUUUUCGUGUUUAAGUGGACCACAAUACUGACGAUCGAUCAGACGAAGAUGUGAAGAUAAGGGUACCAACAAGUGGAAUAAGACUGUCCAACAACUUUGAUCCCAAAUCACUUUUAAAGUUAGCUAUUAUUUUUGUUUUUGUUAAGUUUGUUUAUAGUGUUCUUCUAAUUUGAAUAUAAGGGGGAGAAUUAAAAAACAAUGAAAAAUAAAAAAAAAAUCAGAGAAAUUCAAAAAUCAAAGAAAAAUCAGAAAAAAUAAAAAUCCAAAAAUAGUGUUAUUUCUGUUUUAUUUCUUGUUCAGAAAAAUAAAAAAUCCAAAAAUAUUUUUGUUUCUGUUUUAGUUUGUGUGCUAAGUUUUUUUUUAGUUUUGUUUUGUCUUGAAAAGUGAUUUCAUGUGAAGAUGAAACUCAUGGAGUUUGUGUUGAAGAUUUCUGAGCCAAAGGCUUCGUCCGUGAGAAUCGAACAAUUCUCAUUCGAAGGAGCAAGAAAUGAAGAUUAUUCAUUAAAAUUCAAUCUUUUAACCCCAGAAGCAAGGUGCAGCUGAAAUUGAAGGUUAUGUGACGGAUUGCAUUGAAGCCUCUUCAAUCAGUCUGCUUGUCACACCCCAAAACCGGAACGGCGGAAACGUUCUGGGGUGGAUGACGUCAUGUCAAGUAUCACAACAUAUGCAGUAUAGUAAUCAAAGUACAAAAAUCAUUGCAUUAAUAGUAAUAGUUUUACAUGGUUUACAUUACAUGGAAUCAUCAAAGUAAUACAAGUAAUAGUAUAGGUGCAGCGUGGUACUAUAUUGUCUUCACCAUAAGCGCCUGAGAUGUACCUGUCUAUUGCUGACCUGAGAAUACAAGUUAAUUUGAAAGCGAGUAUCAACAUUUUUAUAAAUGCUGGUGAGUUCAUAAGUAUUUAGUGUCAUUUGUGUAAGUUCAAAAUAACAUUAUAAAAGUAGUAGUGUAGAAUCAACAGUGUAUUAGAGUCGUUUCCAGAAAAUCCUAGAUUUUCUUCAAUAAAAGUAGUCUUCUACCAAGACCCGUCAGAGUUAUGUUGUAAAAAGUAUUUUUCCCUUAAACACUAUCAUUACCAAAAUACGGUGUUUGAUUUUUAAAGAAAUUAGGAGAAUAUCAGGGAAAAUAACAUAUACCCCAGCAGUGAAGACUGCUGACUAAGGAAAAAGAGAUCAUAGACUCCAGGAGAGUAUGGAAUGAACGACACGCCUGGCUCAGUCUAACAAAAGAGAGACACGGACCCCAGACGGUAUCAAAUGGAAGAUACAGCUAGCAAGGUCAAAAACAUUGGAUACAGACCCCAUUUAGUAUCAAAUUAAAGAUACAGCUAGUAAGGUCUAAAAACAGUGGAUACAGACCCCGGACAGUAUCAAAUGAAAGAUACGGCUAAAAAGGUCUAAAAUAGUGAAUACAGACCCCAGACAAUAUCAAAUGAAAGAUAUAGCUAGCAAGGUCUAAAAACAGUGUAAUUCUAGGUGUGUAUUUCCAACAUACAGUGUUAAACGUCGUUACCUUAAAGCCAUGAAUUAUAAGGUAAACAUGGAUAUACUCGUAACCAUACUAAUCGACACUAGAGUACUUGACGCCCUGCAAGCAUCAAAAAUAAUGUGACAUUUGUCACCCCUUGGCUUGGUAGGCCGUGGACUGUAGCUAGCAGUCAGGGUGCGGGGGUGUCAAUCCCAUAUAGAUCUAUACACACAAUGUCCGCUCUCCCUACAAGAGACUCUGGUUACCAACUAGACAACGGAGAAGGCCGUGUCCUGAAGAUGUAUCCCGAACAGUGAAUUCUGAUGUAAGUGCUGGACUAACAGUAACUGAACCGAUCGAUGUAAACCCAUAUGUCUAUACAUGUAUACAUAAUAUAUAAUUAAUGAUCAAACGACCUUCGGACGGAUAUCCGAUCCCACCAGACCACAUCUCAACAAAGAAAAGGAAAUAGGGCGGACUAGCCUUCCUAAGUCCUUUAAACAUUAUUUAUACAACUAUACAAGUAUAGGCAUACAUUUAUCUAAGUAGAAGCGUUAACAAGGUGGAAGCGUUUCACGAAGUAGAAGCGUUAACAAAGUGAAGUGUUUCAUGAAGUAGAAGCGUUAACAAAGUGGAAAUGUUUCACGAAGUAGAAGGGUUAACAAAGUGGAAGUGUUUCACGAAGUAGAAGCGUUAACAAAGUAUAAGCGUAUCACGAAGUAGAAGCAUUAAUAAGUAUAAGCGUAUCACGAAGUGGAAGCGUUAAUAAGUAUAAGCGUAUCAUGAAGUGGAAGCGUUAACAAGUAUAAGCGUAUCACGAAGUGGAAGCGUUAAUAAGUUUAAGCGUAUCACGAAGUGGAAACGUUUCAAGCAGAAGUGAAGCAGUAGUAUCUUAAGCAAGCAGGAGUAUAAAAACAUGGAGGAAAACUUUGAAAACCUUUAUGCUUUAAGAAAAUCACGACUUGGUAUGCUUUUGUAAAAUAAGUUUGGAAACCUUUAGAAAUCCUUUGAAAACCUUUCAUAAAAACGUUUUGAUUAUAACUUUGAUAAAACAUUCAGCGCGAGAGUCAAUUUGAGGAAAGCUUUGAACAAGUAAAGACGUUUUUAGAAAACCAUUUACAGUAUCAUACUUGGUAAAACAGUUAACAGUGUAAUAAAUCCUUGUGCAUGCUGGUUAUCAAUCACAUGUGAUUGAUAUGAUAACUGGCAUGUUUAAAUUGUAUUCCCCCCCCAUAAAAGCAUGUAGAAACAUUUAAAAGGUUAAUUCAGGGGUAUAAACUCACCUGUUGUAAGUAGAUUGGGUGAAGGUGCCGAUGUAGGAUGCUAAGUGCAAGUGAGGACUUGACCACACACACGAAUCCUAUUUAACAUGUAAUGAUACAUUUAAGUAUCUAAUUAGUCAUUUAAUAACUAAUUAAGCAGGUAAGGAUGUCUUAUGACAUAAAAACACUUUGCUACAAGUGCUAGAAGUGUCCCGGGUAACAUUUAAGGGUGUGUAUGGCCUAGAUACGGAGUUUACUCUUCAAGAGUAAACUCUUUAUUGAGUUUACGGCCCUAAGACCUUGUCCCCAUGAGUUUACGGCCAUAAACUCACGGAUGGUGUGUUCUUUGAUGCAUUAAGGUCUUAUAACACUUGUGGUAUUAGGCUAGGUUCAAUUCUAGGGCUUAAAAAGGGUUUAAGGCUUCAAAAUGGGCCAUUAGGGAGUUUACGGCCUAAUACUACUCCUUGAGGAGUUUACGACCGUAAACACAUGAGUUUAUGGUAGUAAACUCAUGUUGGUCCAUUUCUUUUGUUGUUUGGUGGUUCUAACUCAUGCAUGUAAGGUUCUAGUCACUUUUAGGAGCAUAGGAAGGUGUCUAAGGAGAUGCUCUUGGGGUUUUUACUACCUUAAACACAUGAGUUUAUGGCAUUAAACUCACGUUAGUACAUGAAUCCUAUGUUUUGGUGGUUGUAGGUUAAGCAUACGAAGUUCUAGGUCCAAUUCCAAGCCAUACAAAGUGUUAAGGGCACUUUAACACCCUUCGGGGGUGUUUAUGGUCUAAGAAUAGGUGUUUAUGGUCUAAGAACCUUCUUGGACCGUAAAAUUAAGUGCGACAUGUUUUUUUAUGCUUUGGUGCAUAUCAUGAAGGAAAAUAAGGUUCUAUGCACUCAAGGAAAUUCAUGGAAGCCCUUAGAGGUGUUUGAAGGGUAGUUUAACACUUAGACAUGUGUUUAUGGUCCAUGUAUAUGGGUGGGUUUACGGUCUAAGGAUGCUCUUAGACCGUAAACUCAUGUUUGCUCCCCAUUUGGUCCGAUUUUGGUGUUCUAAGUCCUUUCGGGUAAGCCUCUAAGUCAUUGCUAAGCAUGAGAAGUGGUUUGGAAGGGUUUUUGAGCAUUAAAACCCACAUUCAAGGGGUUUACGGUUUUGGGAUGCUCCCAAGACCGUAAACACAUGUUCUUGGGGUUUUUGAAUGUUUAAACCACGAAUUUGUAAGCUAGAUAUGUUAGAUAACAAGCUAGGAAGGUUUACUUACCGAUAUGAGGCUCAGAGGGGCGAAUUUUGACAAAAACCCGUUUGUAGAGAGAGAAAGUAGAGAGAGAGAGCCUAAGGCGGGGAAAAAGGUGGGAGUGAAAUCCACUCCUCUCUUAUAUAGGGUGGAGCUUGUGGCCUGGCUAGGGUUCUCCUGACACCAACCGCGAACGGGUUUUUCACGUCAACCGUUAAACACGACAACAUUUUAAAAUUAUUCCACCUAAAUUUUUGUUCGCUUGACGAAUAUUAUUUAAAAUAUUCCAACGGGUUUAAUUCUGGUUAAAAAUAUUUUCGGGAUAAAUUUGGCUAAUUUUUGACGUAACUAAUUUCGACGUUAAUUUUCGUCGUUAACUUCGACGUUAAAACUAAUGGAAAUUUUUGGGUUGUCACAUCAUCCCCCCGUUAGAGGGAAUUUUGUCCCGAAAUUCAGGUUUAGGCAAGGAAAUAGGUAUGAAUGACCAAGUAAGGUAGGAGGAUACUCCCUAUUCGGUUGGUCCUCGCACUCCCAAGUGAACUUUGGCCUUUGCUUGGCGUUCUAACAAACCUUCACUUACGGGAUGCGGAUUCCGUCUCAUGCAGUUAGCGAAUCCUACUGGUUCGUCUACGAAGUUAGGGUUCCCAAUGGUUUCUAUCAGGACGAGUGGGAUAUAAAGAGUGACCUCGGGCAAACACUUAUCAAGUCUAAGAAGUGGAUUGAUCUAGGUGUAGCUUGUGGUAUUUCCGAAAGUAGUAGUGGUAUGACGAGGGUUGGACCAAUCUCCGUAAAGAAUCUCGGAUGGUCCUAAGCUCUUGGAAGGGUAGAGCUUUUCAGUACUUAGAACAUAGUGUAUUUCUAUGGCGAGAUCAUCACUGGCGUGAUCGCCAUUCCGAAGUUCCAAUUGUUCUCUCCCAUACUGGAAGUGUAGUCCUUCGGAUUGGUUCUUAAAAUUUCGGGUUGUCCUUGGAUUCGUGUUCCUGUUGAUUGGCUCUCCGAGGUUUUCUAGAUCAUCGGAUGGAUUGCGUGUCUACGGGUAUUUUUUUGUUGCAGAGUGUCUAUCUCAAUUUUGUGCAAAAUGAACUUGUACUUUUGAUUCUUGAGGUAUUUCUAACAGGAACCCUCAGGGUCGGGGAGAUAGGGUUUCACCAGACGAGUGUUGGACUAUCUCAGGAGGUGGUUCUACUAUUUUUGUGUGAGAUAGUAUUCGUGGAACACCUAGUAGUCCAAUGAAUCUCUACGACAUGUCCUAUUCUCCAAUGCGUUGGUUUAUUUUAGUGCGGAAAGUGCGUGCUCUUGUAUAACCCAUCGACUAACACCUAGACCUGUGUCAAGUCUAUAAUCUCUUCCGGAUCUGGGUUAUAAGGCUUAACGCAACCUACUCUCGCACUUUAUUCAGGUAUUCUUGGUUGUGGAGGUUAUCCUGUGGUUCUUGGUAUUCUAGUGUUCGCGUCGGAGAAUGCGAUCUAUCGUCUACAGGGUGACGGUGACUUCCUCCAUGUAAGGGGGCGGAGGGUUCUAGGCACUACACGUCGGUAACGGGGUGGACGAAGUGCCUGAGUAGUGCGAACAUCUUCUGCAACUACUCUCCCGAAGGUUCUGAGUUUUCUCGGUCUAGGUCAAAUCUAGUAAGUAUAGGGUUCCAUCACUCGGAACUUCAAUCUCCUCAUCCACUCUUCUCAGAGUUUAACUUAUCACAGGUUCUGGAUUUCCGGGAUAUCCACGGAGAUGCUUAAUUCAUGGGAUUAAGCGUGAGUGGAUGGUCGUAGUCAAUGUCCUUGACUCUUACGACUCGGAUUUCCUUACCAACCGAGGGUGUUAGCUACUAGUUGGCUCAACCCGCCGUGGUUCUCUUGACUCCAGCUCCUAUUCUAUGGAAUAGGAUGAUGGGUUUUGCUAUGAGGUUCGUGGUAGAGCUCAUACUUGGCUUAACCACUAAUACUUGGUGUAUGCAAGCCGUAUAUAAUUGAGGUUGGCAGGUUGUUCAGUUGUACGACUCCACCCCAGACCCACAACCCAACGAGGAACAGGGAGUAGGGAGGAAGCACACAUCUUAAAUCUUUUUGAUCUCAAUUAUAUACCACUCUUAUGCAUAUACUCAGUUAUAGUGGUCAGUCCCAUGAGUUCUAUCCUCUUGAUUCACGAACCGGAUUGCGAGGUGCGAAGGGUCUUUCUGGGUUUCUACGGUGUCUGCUUCAGGUGGUUAUCGUCUUCUGGAAUGCCUGCGGUGCCUUUCGCUUCAGUUCCAAUCUGUCUAAGAGGGGUUGGUUAACAGCACGCGAUACCCUUCUCCUGGGUACUUCGGACGGUUCGAGAUAAGAGGGAUGACUGGCGGAUCGCAUUAGGUUUUAUUAACUUUAUUAUGUUUAGGUUCGGAAGAACCUUUAUUUGCCGAAAUGGCUACGGAGAAAGUUCUUUGUACACAGCACAAAGGAUUUACACAUGGUUGCACAAAGUCGAACCAUAAUUGAUAGAGGCGUCGAAGUUGGCACAUUUCGACAUGAUAUAGAAUGAGGGUCGUUAGGGUCAUGUGUCGAACAGGCACACCAGUUCUAGGUGUCUCGAGUUUCGUCCCGUGUAUCACUGUCACGGAUACUUGGACCGAUAGAGUCGACGCGGAACUAUAGAGGGCCCUAAGUAUUUCUGAGUAGAGUACCUUUUCAUGAAUGGAUUUCUCACGAGGCAUUUCUAUAAUCGCCAAACAUAUACUAGUCAUGUAUAAUUAAGGUGGGGAGGACUGUUGGUUGAGUGACUCCGCCUUAAAUCCACAACCAAACAAGGAACAUGAAAUGAGGCGGCAUUCGCUCACUCUAGGUCUAUCCAUCUGAAUUAUACAUGGCUGUGACGUAUAUAUCUAGCCAUUAUAGUUUUACCUGAUGAAAUUUUAAAUUUUAUAACAGUGCUGCAACUUUCGCCUUAAUGGGGAAAUAAUUACAUUUAGAAUUAGUCUUUUAAUGUUUUCGGUUAGUUAUCUGAGACUGAGAGACGUACCAAAAUCUACCGGGUUCUUUGAUGCUUCUCUCUAAGCAGGUAGGGUCAGACUCCUCCUGUGUCCUUGUUGUUUCCUUCGGUUGGGUAGUCCCUUUUGAAGUGUCCAAUCUCACCACAUAGACGGCAAACUGGAUUGAUCGUCACAUUUGUGGUUGAUGUAAUAAAAUCAACCGGGGUUCUGCAGACGCGAGUAGUAUGCCCCUUCAUGUUGCACCUUGCACAAAAGAGUUCCCGACAUAUACCAAGGUGAUGGUAGCUGUACUUGCUACAGUGGGGAAGGUUUCAUAGGUAUGGUCUACUUGAAGUCGGGAUGGAGGGGCUGGCAGGGGUAUUGCCUGUCUCAUCUCGUUGCCCUUCAGAAGGUCCUUGAGCCGAGGUACUUCCCUCCUCGAUGUCGAUCUUUCUCUUCAGUGGAUUUGGUUGAGGUUCUGCGGUGGUUGGGUAUACAGAGGUUGGCUGCUGCUGUCCAUUACUAGGAUCGGAAUUCCCGAUAGGGCUCUUGCUAACAUUGGCGUUGUUAGCAUUCAGUUGAGCCAUGACAGCUGCAAUGGCUGCCGAGACUGCAGCCUGGAACGUAGCUUCAUCAAGUAGGAGAGUCGGUUCCUUGCCAGUGGAUGGGUUACGCUUCUUCAGAGGCAUGGUUUUUCCUACACGGAAAGGAACACAAGCUGAUGAGAGACGAUGGUUAACCCUGUACAUAUCUAUCCUUACUGUAUUAGGGAUAAAUUUUUCCCGUGCUUGGGUUAUUGGUUGUCUGAGUGUCGACCUACAUCCCUAUGAUGUAGUCCGGGUAUUCAAGGUAGGAGUAUGAGUGUCGGAAAAAGCCAUAAGAUGGGAGUCGUUCCUACUAAGUUACCUUUAUACUGGGAAAGGUUUCACUCUCCGACUUGGAAAGAUUUGAGAACAGUUCGGAACGAAGACCGCAGAAAGAAAGGCUCCUGAAGACUUAUGGCUAAACAUCCUCAAUAGAGGUGUGGGGAUCCGUUCUAAUCGUAUUACUUGCAACGGGAAAAAGGAGAUUUACCUAACACAUAACGUGAGUAGUGAAAUCACUAACUCACUAUAUUGUAUUAUUUUAUGGGUGUACUAGCGCGAAGAACACAAGGAAGAGACAUUUCUCGGGUUCCAUGCACUGGCUCCCUCUGUAUACCUCGUAUCCCUGACUAGGACCGGCGUUGAUUUCCUUCGGGUAGUUACCUAGGGUUCUUUUCUUGUGAAGACAUAUUGAAUUUCUAUUCUGCCUUACUUCCGAUCCUGACUCUGAGUGUCAUCACUUCAGGAUGGAUGACUGGAAAUCUCGGAAGUUUAGGCGAAUUUCUCACCGAUGUCCUUAAAAAGAUAUAGGCACUUGGUGAUUUCAAUAGUCUCGAUUUAGUUCAUUUAUUUCUGAACUGGAAAUCUUCUCAAUGAACCUCUUGUGGGUUUGAAUCAACUCUCAUGUCGAGUACUGACGUGGAUAGGGUUUUCUACAGGGUUUGUGUGAGAAUGGAAAUGUCUAAAGAAUCCUAAGAGAUUAUUAACAUUUCACUGAGUGAUCCUUAUCGAGUCCUGCUACGAUUACAUAGGGUAUACAAAUCAUAUAUAGCUUAGAUCCGAUAGGCCUUCGAGUAUGUGAUACUACUCUAUAUCCACAUCCCAACGAGGAAAAGGAAGUAGAGCGAAACCACACAUUCUUAGCCUAUGGGAUCCAUAUUUUAUAUAACCUUGGAAGUAUACCCUUUGUAAUUGUAGGUAUAUCAAUAAGGAUCUUUUUAGUUCUUCACACAAGGUUAUCUAUGUAUCCUAAAAUACCUUUAUGGUACUUUAAUUUCUUGUUUGUUUCUUAACUUCUGAAUAUGAUUCUGGAAUUAAUGUGAGUCUUUUAGUAUUCCAAAAUACUCCCAUAGUAUUUUUAAACUUUAUGUUUGGCUCUAGCAUUCCUAGUUGGUAAGUUUCAGACUCGUUGCAACACGACUAUCACUCCCAAGCACACGUUCAUCGCAUCUCGAAUAAAUGUAGUUGAUCAGGUUACAUUUAUUCCAACUUACGAUUACAUAACUGCCCAGGUUUGACGGUAAUGCUCAACAUCCGAAGACUUUUAUUCUUGUUCUUCUUGUGAUACUUGUGUUCGAGUGUUUAGAUUCUGGAUGUUCUUAUACUUUGGUAAAAUAUGGUUAUAUUUUAAAGUAUAAUUCUUGGUCAGAGUGUUUUAUCCCUAUGUAUUUAUAGGUUGUAUAUCUUUUAUGAAUUGAUAUACUUAGCUCACUAUAAACAAUGCUCUGAUACCAAUCUGUCACACCCCAAAACCGGAACGGCGGAAACGUUCUGGGGUGGAUGACGUCAUGUCAAGUAUCACAACAUAUGCAGUAUAGUAAUCAAAGUACAGCAAUCAUUGCAUUAACAGUAAUAGUUUUACAUGGUUUACAUUACAUGGAAUCAUCAAAGUAUUACAAGUAAUAGUAUAGGUGCGACUUAGUACUAUAUUGUCUUCACCAUAAGCGCCUGAGAUGUACCUAUCUAUAGCUGACUUGAGAAUACAAGUUAUUUUGAAAGCAUGUAUCAGCAUUUUUAUAAAUGCUGGUGAGUUCAUAAGUAUUUAGUGUCAUUUGUGUAAGUUCAAAAUAACAUUAUAAAAGUAGUAGUUUAGAAUCAACAGUAUAUUAGAGUCCUUUCCAGAAAAUCCUAUAUUUUCAUAAAUAAAAGUAGUCUUCUACCAAGACCCGUCAGAGUUAUGUUGUAAAAAGUAUUUUUCCCUUAAACACUAUCAUUACCAAAAUACGGUGUUUGAUUUUUAAAGAAAUUAGGAGAAUAUCAGGGAAAAUAACAUAUACCCCAGCAGUGAAGACUGCUGGCUAAGGAAAAAGAGAUCAUAGACUCCAGGAGAGUAUCGAAUGAACGACACACCUGACUCAGUCUAACAAAAGAGAGACAUAGACCCCAGACGGUAUCAAAUGAAAGAUACAGCUAGCAAGGUCCAAACCAGUGGAUACAGACCCCAGACAAUAUCAAAUGAAAGAUAAAGGUAGUAAGGUCUAAAAACAAUGGAUAGAGACCCCAGACAGUAUCAAAUGAAAGAUACGGCUAACAAGGUCUAAAAUAGUGAAUACAGACCCCAGACAGUAUCAAAUGAAAGAUACAGCUAGCAAGGUCUAAAAACAGUGUAAUUCUAGGUGUGUGUUUCCAGCAUAUAGUGUUAAACGUCGUUACCUUAGGUCUAUGAAUUAUAAGGUAAACAUGCUCGUAACCAUACUAAUCGACAAUAGAGUACUUGACGCCCUGCAAGCGUCAAAAAUAAUGUGAGAUUUGUCACCCCUUGGCUUGGUAGGCCAUGGACUGUAGCUAGUAGUCAAGGUGCGGCGGUGUCAAUCCCGUAUAGAUCUAUACACACAAUGUCCGCUCUCCCUACAAGAGACUCUGGUUACCAACUAGACAACGGAGAAGGCUAUGUCCUAAAGAUGUAUCCCGGACAGAUAAUUCUGAUGUAAGUGUUGGACUAACAGUAGAGACUCAUAACUGAACCGAUCGAUGUAAACCCAUAUGUCUAUACAUGUAUACAUAAUAUAUAAUUAAUGAUCAAACGACCUUCGGACGGAUAUCCGAUCCCACCAGACCACAUCUCAACGAAGAAAAGGAAAUAGGGCGGACUACCCUUCCUAAGCCCUUUAAAAAUUAUUUAUAUAACUAUACAAGUAUAGGAAUACAUUUAUCUAAGUAGAAGCGUUAACAAGGUGGAAAUGUUUCACAAAGUAGAAGCGUUAACAAAGUGGAAGUGUUUCACGAAGUGGAAGUGUUUCACGAAGUAGAAGCGUUAACAAAGUGGAAGUGUUUCACAAAGUAGAAGCGUUAACAAAGUGGUAGUGUUUCACGAAGUAGAAGCGUUAAAAAAGUAUAAGCGUAUCACGAAAUGGAAGCGUUAAUAAGUAUAAGCGUAUCACGAAGUUGAAGCGUUAAUAAGUAUAAGCGUAUCACGAAGUGGAAGCGUCAACAAGUAUGAGCGUAUCACAAAGUGGAAGCGUUAAUAAGUAUAAGCGUAUCACAAAGUGGAAACGUUUCGCGAGGUAGGAGCAUUAACUAAGCAGAAGUGAAGCAGUAGUAUCUUAACCAAGUAGGAGUAUAAAAACAUGGAGGAAAACUUUGGAAAACCUUUAUGCUUUAAGAAAAUCACGACUUGGUAUUCUUUUGUAAAAUAAGUUUGGAAACCUUUAGAAAUCCUUUGAAAACCUUUCAUUAACACGUUUUGAUUAUAACUUUGAUAAAACAUUCAGCGCGAGAGUCAAUUUGAGGAAAGCUUUGAACAAGUAAAGACGUUUUUAGAAAACCAUUUACAGUAUCAUACUUGGUAAAACAGUUAACAGUGUAAUAAAUCCUUGUGCAUGCUGGUUAUCAAUCACAUGUGAUUGAUAUGAUAACUGGCAUGUUUAACUUGUAUUCCCCCCCCCAUAAAAGCAUGUAAAAACAUUUAAAAGGUUAAUUCAGGGGUAUAAACUCACCUGUUGUAAGUAGAUUGGGUGAAGGUGCCGAUGUAGGAUGCUAAGUGCAAGUGAGGACUUGACCACACACACGAAUCCUAUUUAACAUGUAAUGAUACAUUUAAGUAUCUAAUUAGUCAUUUAAUAACUAAUUAAGCAGGUAAGGAUGUCUUAUGACAUAAAAACACUUUGCUACAAGUGCUAGAAGUGUCCCGGGUAACAUCUAAGGGUGUGUAUGGCCUAGAUAGGGAGUUUACUCUUCAAGAGUAAACUCUUUAUUGAGUUUACAUCCCUAAGACCUUGUCCCCAUGAGUUUACGGCCGUAAAAUCAUGGAUGGUGUGUUCUUUGAUGCAUUAAGGUCUUAUAACACUUGUUGUAUUAGGCUAGGUUCAAUUCUAGGGCUUAUGAAGGGUUUAAGGCUUCAAAAUGGGCCAUUAGGGAGUUUACGGCCUAAGACUACUCCUUGAGGAGUUUACAACUGUAAACACAUGAUUUUACGGUAGUAAACUCAUGUUGGUCCUUUUCUUUUGUUGUUUGGUGGUUCUAACUCAUGCAUGUAAGGUUCUAGUCACUUUUAGGACCAUAGGAAGGUGUUUAGGGCACUUAAACACCUUGGAAAGGUGUCUACGGUGUAAGGAGAUGAUCUUGGGGAGUUUACUACCUUAAACACAUGAGUUUAUGGUAGUAAACUCAUGUUAGUUCAUGAAUCCUAUGUGUUGGUGGUUGUAGGUUAAGCAUACGAAGUUCUAGGUCCAAUUCCAAUCCAUACAAAGUGUUAAGGGCACUUUAACACCCUUUAGGGGUGUUUAUGGUAUAAGAAUAGGUGUUUACGGUCUAAGAACCUUCUUGGACCAUAAACUCAAGUGUUUUUGUAUGCUUUUGUGCAUAUCAUGAAGGAAAAUAAGGUUCUACGCAUUCAAGGAAGUUCAUGGAAGCCCUUAGAGGUGUUUGAGGGGUAGUUUAACACUUAGACAUGUGUUUAUGGUCCAUGUAUAUGGGUUUAUGGUCUAAGGAUGUUCUUAGACCAUAAACUCAUGUUUACUCCCUAUUUGGUCUGAGUUUGGUGUUCUAAGUCCUUUCAGGUAAGCCUGUAAGUCAUUGCUAAGCAUGAGAAGUGGUUUGGAAGGGUUUUUGCGCAUUAAAACCCACAUUCAAGGGGUUUACGGUUUUGGGAUGCUCCCAAGACCGUAAACACAUGUUCUUGGGGUUUUUAAAUGUUUAAACCACGAAUUUGUAAGCUAGAUAUGUUAGAUAACAAGCUAGGAAGGUUUACUUACCGAUUUGAGGCUUGGAGGGGCAAUUUUUGACAAAAACCCGUUUGUAGAGAGAGAAUGUAGAGAGAGAGAGCCUAAGGUGGGGAAAAAGGUGGGAGUGAAAUCCACUCCUCCCAUAUAUAUGGUGGAACUUGUGGCCUGGCUGGGGUUUCCUGACACCAACCGCGAACGGGUUUUUCACGUCAACCGUUAAACACGACAACAUUUUAAAAUUAUUCCACCUAAAUUUUUGUUCGCUUGAUGCAUAUUAUUUAAAAUAUUCCAACGCGUUUAAUUCUGGUCAAAAAUAUUAUCGGGAUAAAUUUGGUUAAUUUUUGACGUAACUCAUUUCAACGUUAAUUUUCGUCGUUAACUUCGAAGUUAACUUCGACGUUAAAACUAACGGAAAUUUUUGGGUUGUCACACUGCUACUAUCUUAAACCUGCUGAAGAGAUCCAGAAGAUUAUUUCUCUCUGAUGUUCUCUCUGAAGAUUCUCAAGCUGAAAGCGCACUCUUUCAAGAAUCAGUACAAGAAGCCUCCUCACCCAACGUGCGUUCAAUGAAAAUUUCUGAAGAAAUUCCCAACUGCUCAAGAUGAAGUCAGUUAUUGAAGAUUCAUCAAGUUCAUCUUGAAGCCGUGAUGUCAUCGAAGAUUAAACCUGAAGCCAAAUCUCCAACUGAAGAUUAAUAAGAAAAGCCAGCUACUUUUUAGAGGGAGCUUGUUGGGUCAAUUAAGAAAAGAAAGCGAUAAGUCCCCAAUUUGCUUGAGUAUCAAUCAAAUCUGUUUGAUGGGGCAGAAUCCCAAUCAAACGUAUGAUGUCAGAUCAAAUAGAAGAAACUGAGAAGAAGAAGAUGAUGAAUCUUGUAUGUAUUGAUAUGAAUGAAGAUCCGGAUACAAACGAUUCACACACACUUGUUUUUCUCUCUCUAGGCCGUAAACUCCUUGUGUUUUCAUCAAUCUCUACUCCCGACCCCUAACACCUAUAUAUAUACAAUGGAACAUGGGCUUUGUGGACAUGGGUCGUAAAUGGGUUUACGGUUGUAAACCUGUUUACGGCCGUAAACCCAUUUACGGCCCAUGUCCCCAUUGUAUAUAUAUAGGUGUUAGGGUGAGGAGUAGAGANGGUGAGGAGUAGAGAUUGAUGAAAACACAAGGAGUUUACGGCCUAGAGAGAGAAAAACGAGUGUGUGUGAAUCUUUUGUAUCCGGAUCUUCAUUCAUAUCAAUACAUACAAGAUUCAUCAUCUUCUUCUUCUCAUUCUCUUCAAUUCGUUUGAUUGGGAUUCCGCACCAUCAAACGGAUUUGAUUGAUACUCAAGCAAAUUAGGGACUUACAAUUGGUAUUAGAGCCAAGUUGUAUCAGUCAAUUUUGUUAGAUUUGGAGGCAUAUCAUCAGACUUUUGUUUGUUGGUAGUGGUUGUUCCAGGCACAUGAUAGGGACAUCUCUCAACUGUACAACACUCAAAACAUUGUUUGAGAGUAUGUGCCCUUUGCGGGAAAGGAAGAAAGGAAGAGAUCACUCAUGGGGUUAGUGCUUAAUGACAUGAAGAAUUUUCAGAUCUGUUCUAAGAUUACGCAUGCUGUUCUCAAACCUUUUGGAUGCAAAUUCAAUCGGUGACUUACAGUUUUAAUUUUCUUCUCUAUACUCUUGAGUUUUUUUUCUUAAGCUGAUUCGCUAAGACUAAUUUUUGUUUUAGGAUAGUUUAAAUUUGCCCAUUUACUUAUGUUUCUCUCCUAUGCACAAAUUUAGGGGGAGAAAUAAAAAGAAAAAAAAUUAGAAAAUUUUAAUUUAAAAAAAAAUCCAAAAACAUUAGAAAAUCAUAAAAUCAAAAAUAUGGUGUUAAUGGAAUGCGCUUGCAAGAGAUGUUUUGGGAAGUGAUAUAAUCAUGUGAUAACAGGCAAUCUGAAUCUAUGUAAGGGACAUAAUCUAAAUUGUCUAGGCUCUGUGUUCGAUGCGUUGGUAGGCACGAAAGAUUUAAAAUGGACUUGACUAGGUAUAGAUGAACUUAAGGAAUCUAGAGACUUGAAAAAUCUUGACCUAGAUAGACCCAUUUAGCCUGACAAUACGACGCUCGGAUAGGUUGAGCAGGGAGAUAUACAUGAGNCAGCAGGGAGAUAUACACGGGAAUCUACUGGUUACAUUAAAUAACCCGUAUCUAGAACCGUGGAUUCACUUUUCCUCGAUGUGUGGAUUCUGUCCUUAAUUCUGGUAGGAUGGUGUGACUGGGGAAUUCCGAUAAACUAGGUCUGUAGAAGGUUAUUUUCUUUCUCUCUGUCUAUUAGUCAUAUGUUGCCUCCUCUGCGUGAUCGGGAGAUCCGACUUGGACUGUAACAUAUGCAACUCUAUUUCUCUACAUCUUCUAUCUAUGCAAUUCUCUCUAUCUGUUAGCCAUAUACUGUCUCCUCUACGUGACUCAAAAUCCGACCCGGUACACAGUAUAUGCACCAUUCUCUGCUCAAUCCCUCUAAAACUUUAGUUAGUCAUAUGUUUCAUCCUUUGCGUGAUUGGAAGAGAUUCGACCUGGAUGUAUAGCAUAUACAUUCUAAAUCUAUCUUCUCUCUUAAUAAUUGUCUGCUCACCCAGUGUAAAGAGUAUUCUGGAAGUCCUUGAUGGCUGGAGCAUGCCAGGAAGCGGGAAACACGUUCUCGUACAAUUAAAAGUGAACACAUACAAUUUGUCUGUAGAUCUCGCUGCUCAAUUUAGGUGGACAAAAAUAUCUUUAGUCAUCGUCAGCUGAAUGGUCCUUAAGGAAUAUUAUCUAGGAACUUAGGAUCACAUUGUCUUGUCACUUAUAGUAUGUCCUAAUUUUGUCGCAAUCUCUCGUGUUUAACAGGACCACAAUACCGGUGAUUGACUAGAUAUAUUCAUGAAGGGAGAGGUACUGAUAAACGGAUGAAGGCUGUCUAAAAACUUUGAUCUAAAAUCACUCUUAAAGUUAGCUAUUAUUUUUGUUUUUGUUAAGUUUGUUCAUAGUGUUCUUCUAAUUUAAAUAUUAGGGGGAGAAUUGAGAAAUAAUAAAAAUAAUAAAAAAUCUGAAAAAUUCAAAAAUCAAAGAAAAAUCCGAAAAUUAAAAAACCAAAAAUAGUGUUAUUUCUAUUUUGUUUCUGUUUUAAGUUUUCUUUUAGUUUUGUAUUGUCUUGAAAAGUGAUUUCAGGUACAGAUAAGACUCAUGGAGUUUGUGUUGAAGAUCUCUAAGCCAAGGCUUCAUCCGUGAGCAUCGAAGAAUUCUCAUUCGAAGGAGCAAGAAAUGAAGAUUAUUCUUUCAACAUUUAAUUUGUCAACUCCAGAAGCAAGGUGAAGCUGCACUUGAAGACUAUGUGACAGAUUGCACUAAAGCCUCCUCAAUUAGUCUGCUGCUAUCUUAAACUUGCUGAAGUGAUCCAGAAGAUUUGUUCUCUCUGAUGUUCUCUCUGAAAAUUCUCAAGCUGAAAGCGCUAUCUUUCAAGAAUACGUACAUCAAGCCUCCUCACCCAAUGUGCAUUUAGAGUCAAAUCUUGAAGAAAAGUUCAAGUGCUCAAGAUGAAGUCAUUAAUUGAAGAUUCAUCAAGUACAUCUUGAAGUUGUGAGGAAUUCGAAGAUUAAAACUGAAGCCAAAGCUCCCAUUGAAGAUUGACAAGAAAAGCCGGCUACUUUUUAGGAGGAGUUUGUUGGGUCAAUUAAGAAAAGAAAGCUAUAAACCAAGGGGGAGAUGGGUUUAAAGUGUCAAAAUAGGAAAACUUGUUGUGAGAAAGAUGGGUUAUAGUUUAAAUUUGGAAGGAAAGGAACAAAGAUUCAGCUAGUUGAGUUGGAUAAGGCGAUAAAGGGAUACGAGCUGGAGGUCGUGGGUUCGAAGCGAGGAAGCGAGCUGCUGAGUGCGAGGCUGCUGAACCGGAAACGAUGCUGAGCAGUAAACUCCGAGCCGCAAGCUNAACGUGCGAGGCCUCGGACCGUAACCUCUGACCGCGAACUCCUCGGACCACCAACACUGGCCGCAAGCUCUUCAGGACCCUAGCCGCCAGCCGCAAACUCCUCGCUGAUUACGACAAAAAACAACGAUUUUUCGACUUUGAAGCUCCAAAACUCGAUUAAAAACCAUUUUUUAUGAUAAACACGAAGAACAAACCCCCCCUUAUUUUUCAGAGAUCUAUCCAAAAAUGCAAUAAUUUUUCGAAAAUAAGAUCAAAUAAUUCUCCGAAUCUGACAAAAUUGACUGAUACAACCAAGCUCUGAUACCAAUUGUAAGUCCCUAAUUUGCCUGUGUAUCAAUCAGAUCCGUUUGAUGGUGUGGAAUCCCAAUCAAACGAAUGAUGUCAGAUCAAAUAGAAGAGAAAGAGAAGAAGAAUAGUAUGAAUCUAUGUAUGAAUUGAUUAGAAUGAAGAUCCGGAUACAAAAGAUUCACACACACAAAAAUUCUCUCAAGUUUCUCUCUUUUCCGUACACUCCCUACUGUUCAUCUAUGCCUAGUCAAGUCCAUUUUAAAUCUUUCGUGCCUACCAACGCAUCGAACACAGAGCCUAGACAAUUCAGAUUCAGUCCCGUGCAUAGAUUCAGAUUGCCUGUUAUCACAUGAUUAUAUCACUUCCCAAAACAUCUCCUGCAAGCACAUUCCAUUAACACCAUAUUUUUGAUUUUCUGAUUUUCUAAUGUUUUUGGAUUUUUUUUUAAAUUAAAAUUUUCUAAUUUUUUUUAUUUCUCCGCCUAAAUUUGUGCAUAGGAGAGAAACGAAAGUAAAUGCGCAAAUUUAAACUAUCCUAAAACAAAAAUUAGUCUUAACGAAUAAACUUAAGAAAAAAAACUCAGGAGUAUAGAGAAGAAAAUGCAAAUCAUAAUUCACCGAUUAAACUUGCAUGCAGAAGGUCUCAGAACGGAUCCGAAAAUUCUUUACAUCAUUAAGCACUAACCCCAUGUGAUCCCUUCCUUUCUUCCCUUCUUUCCUUUCCCGCAAAGGACACAAAAUCUCGAAUAAAUCUAUGAGUGUUGUAUAUUUGAGAAAUGUCCCCUAUCAUAUGCCAGGAGCAACCACUACCAACAAACCGAUGUUUGUUGAUAUGCCUCCAUAGUUGCUCUAACACAGAUUGGGAUUAGUUGGUCUUUGGAACCCAGUCCAUUUUGAAACUGGGUCGACCUUUGUCAUCCAUACACAAUACUUUCUCCCAUGAUAUGUCCUGUUUAUCACAAACAGAAGAUGUAGAAAUAUUAGAAUCAUUAGGAGAUUUAGGAGAUUGAGCCUUUGGUACCCAUUGGUAGUUCGUUUAACCCAUUACUUUUUCGAUCCGAUGGGCGCCUCAGCACUUGAUUUGGAACUUGAAGCCGAUCUUCGAGAUGACUUUGACUUAGCUGGUCUUUGUUUCACUAGAGCAUCUCUUGGAUUUGGCUUCUUGGUAGGCAUUUCCUUCUUGCCAUUGGGAUUCAGAUUCUUUUCCUUGUGGGUUUGAUUCUUGGCCUUCUGCACGUUCCAGUCACCAUUGUCUGAACGUGAACUGGAAAGAUUUCUUUUGAAGUAUCUCCCACUUGGCGCGUUUUGCCAUCCUUGUGCGCAGUAGGGAACGUAUGUGCGAUUUGGACAGUUUCGGGCAAUGUGUCUAUGUGUUCCACAGUGAAAACAUGUCUUUGUCUUCACUGUGAAGUUGUUUCUUCCUGCCCCUGGUGGCGUAUCAUUGCCUCGUCUCUUAUUGUUCCCAGAUGCACACUUGCAAUAGGCACUCUGUUGCGCUGGAAUUGGAGGCAUGUAUUUCUCAAUGGCAAGUUUGUUAGGAGUAAUAGAAUUCGAAGCAACAAAUUCUAAGUUCAAGGAGUCAUUGGUUUAUUCAGUAGUGUUCCUCUUGUUCUCAUCUUCUUCUACUUUACCUGCACAUGAAGUAGAAACAUUAGAAUCUUCAACCCGAAUACCUCCCGAAACAAAUGUAGAUGGUUUUCCAUAUUGAAGAUGUGCCUCCUUGUCAAUUUCUUUUUGUGUCAUAGGGAUGGAUGUGUAGUUAUGAUUGAAAGGGGAAGGAACACUAUCAUACCCUAGACCCUUGUUUUGAUUAUCUUUUAAUUUUAAUUGGGUUUCAAAUAAUGGCUCGACUGUCUGACUUGACGCAGUAUAAAUUUUGAAAGUAAUGUCUGUUUUUCCACACUUAACUUUCAAAGUGUCAUGUUCUUCAGUUAAAGCAACAAGUUGUCUCUUAGUAUAGUCGUAGUUUUCACACUUAUUGCUAUACUCUUCGUGAAGCUUCCUAAAGUCUUUGGUUUCGCAAAUUAGUCGUAGUUGUCUCUUAAUAUAGUCGUAGUUUUCACACUUAUUUUGUCAUUUCCUGAGUUGAUAUCCUUCAUAUCUCAGGUCCUCAACUUUUCUUUUUAAUAAAUCAAUUUAUUCCUGAAGAAAUUUGAUCGUAGUUUCGCAAAUUAGAGUAUAUGUAACUUCGGUGACUGGAAUGUUUUUAGAACUCAUUAUUUUUCUACACUUCAAAGCAUCAAGUUCUUCAAUUACAUCAACAAGACUAAGAUGAUUGAGAUCUUUUGUCUUCUUGAUGAUAGCCAAGUUCAUAUCCCACAAUUUCAGAAGUGAAUUCAACAGCUUUUUGUUUAUCUCAUAUUUGGACAAGAAGAUCCCAGCUAUAUUCAUCUCAGUAGUAAGUGUAGUAAAUCGUUGCAACUUAGUUUCGAGGGUUUCUCCAGGGAUAUAAUUGAAAAUGUUGAAAUUUUGUCUUAACAUAUCCUUACGACUCUCUUUCAUGAUUUCAACUCCCUCGUAGACCUAAAAAUCAAUUAAAAAGCACAACUAAAAGCCAAAAUCAAACGUAAAAGUCAAACCGUUUGAUUAUAUGUAACACCCAAAGUCUAGAAGGCCAAGAAAGGAAAGAAAACCCUAAUUUUAAGGGACGACUCAGCGAGUCCGAGCGGGAUCCGGGUCGAGGAGUAAGUGACCGACUCGGCGAGUCAGCCAAGGAGACUCGGCGAGUCUUGGCUGUGCCAGGAAAACCNACUCGGCGAGUCGGGCAAGGAGACUCGGCGAGUCUGGUCUGUGCAAGGAAAACCCUAAAUUCGGGACUUAGAGCCUAUUUAAACGUCUCAUUCUCUCCCCUAGGGUUCCUUUACAGCCUCUUUCACCCAGAACAUCGAACCCUAAGCCCUAUUAUUUCUCAUUCAAGCUUCCAAGCCAUUUUUGAGUGAUUUGAAGGAAGAAGAAGAAGGGGAAUCAUUGAAGCUUCAAGGAUUGGCCUUAGAUCUGAAGAUUGGGGAAACUUUCUGAGUUAUUGAAGGUAUUAAUUCGUUUCCCUCCUUUAGAUCUAUUAUGGUUGUGAGUUUUGGGGGCUUUUUAGCCAUGAGAAGCUAUCCAUUUGAGUUAGAAGCCAGAUCUGAAGUUCCUACUUCGGAUCUAAGCAUAUUAUGGCCUUGAGAAGCAUAAAGUAUCUGUCCUUGAGUUGAUUAUGGAGCGUCUUUUCCUUAAACCCUAGUUUAUGGUGUACUUUGCAUAGAUCUCCUUCUCUACAUGUAAAGUUUACAACUUUACGUGAGGAAUAGGCUUGGGAAGGGUAGAUAUACAGUUUGGAGUCCAUGCAUGACUCAAAAUUCCUCUGCAUGUAUGAAGAUCUGAAUGGACUCAACGAGUCCUUUGAGUGGACUCGGCGAGUAGCAUGAAGAUUUGGAGGAACUCGACGAGUGGGAUGAACAGCUCGUCGAGCCGGAUGAAUUUGGGCAUGAACUCGGCGAGUUGGAAGAAGAACUCGGCGAGUCUGUUGAAGGUUGUCUUGCACUCGGUGAGUCUGUCCUUGGACUCGGCAAGUCAGGUCGCGAAAACCCCAAACCCUUUGAGUUGAGACUCGAAUCGGUGAGUCGUGUGGAGACUCGUUGAGUUGGACAGGUCAGGACUCAGGAAUUAGUAGACUCGGCGAAUCAUGGACUGACUCAGCGAGUCGAGUCGUGAAUGGAAGGACUCUGAACAUAUGAAAUCAGUGAGUCGGUAGGGUAACUCGGCGAGUAGGGUUGACCUGGAAGGUUGAUCUUGACCAGGACCUUCUUUGAUUAGAGUUGACUUGAUUGUCUUUCAAGAGUCGGUUAGACUCAGUGUUUCAUUGAUAUUGGUAGCUUGAGGAGCGAGCGGAGUAGGAGUUCAGAGAGUUGCCGGGCAGCAGCUAGUGGCAUCAUCAGCAAGUUCAGCCAGUGCAGGUGAGUUUCCCUUUUGUGUGAAAGGGUCUACAGCCACAAUGCCGACCCAUGUAGUUAUGAGUAGAGAACUCGGGGGUUAGCCCUAGGCACAAUAUGCUAGUAUGAUAUUCAGGACGAGGUCCAGUGGUAGUGGGCGGGUGCCCAAGGAAUGUUUUAUGUGAUAGUUUAAACUUGUUGUCUGUGUGAUGCUUGUAUAUGCCUGGUAGGGAGGUGAGUGUGGGCAAGGUCCCGUAACUCACCAGUAGCAGAUUGUGGAUGGUGUUCCACAUCUCAUUAGCAGCAGAUCAGGGGCGAUGACCGAGUUAGGAAAGGAGUGAGUGUGGGCUGGGCCCCUAUCUCACAAUCAGUAGGAGCAUGGACGGGGUUCCAUGACUCAUCAGUAACAGGUCAGGGGCGAGGCCCAGGAUAGGCGAGGCCUUAGGACAUGAUCAGUUCGUAUGUGUUUAGCUUAUGUGUUGUGAUAUGUUUAUGUGUUAUUAAUUGUUGGUGGGCGAGGCCCUAUGACAGGCGAGGCCUAAGUGAAACAGAUCUGUAUCCAAGCGGGGCUCGAAACCAGGCGGGGCCUGGAGCGGCGGGGCCGUUGUAUCGGGCGAGGCCCGAGGUAGGGGCGAGGCCUAGGAUAGCGGGCGUGGCCCAAUAUGUGCAGUAUGUGGUUAUCCAUGGUAUGUGGUAGGGUGGGGAACUCACUAAGCUUCGUGCUUAUGAUUUUUAGCUUUGGUUUCAGGUACAUAUGGUAGCGGAGUGAAGAGCUCGGGGUGAUCGCAUGGCACACACCAUAGAUUAGACAGCCUGAGAAUGUUUUACUCUGAUAACGAACAUGUGUAUUGGAAGUUAAUACUCUGAUUAUGUUUGGAUUGAUGAUUUUGCUUUAAGUAAUGUUUUAUUAAAAGAAAAUUUUUAGUCUUGAAUUUUGGGACAUUACAAGUUGGUAUCAGAGCCUUGGGUUGAGGGAUUCAGACAUACCCUCGGGUGUGUCUGAACUCAAACUAAGGGAUUGGGAUAAAAGUUUUCAAAAUGAAAAGACAAGUUUUGUAAAAAGAGUUUUAGAAAUGAAACAGUUUUUCGAAAAGCGAAAAGAAUUCGAAAAGAAAAGAAUUUUGAUAAGUGACAAGGGUACCCCAAAAUACCCAUACAAGUUUAUGUUAUGAUUAUCAGUUGAAAAGAAAAGAAUUUUGAUAAGUGACAAGGGUACCCCAAAAUACCCAUACAAGUUUAUGUUAUGAUUAUCAGUUAAUAGAACAGCAUGCUAGAUUAGGACUAAGGAUCCAGGGUUGAUGCCUUAUGUGCCUGUUAUAUGUGCUUUUGAGCUACAUGAUAGUGUUGAUUAGACAGUAGUAGGAUAGCCUGUUUAGGUUAUGCCUGAGUUUAUGAGUUUGUGUUGCAUGCUAGUACAGAUUCUUGAUAUGAGAUUAUGAUUGCUUGAGUAUGUUAUGGUUAGAUUUUCCCUUGUCUGAAUGCUGCUUGCUUUGUGCAUUGUCGGAUUCUGAGUGAUGGGAGUUAGCCAUUAGGUGGAUACGACACGUCACAUGUGAUCAGGGUUGAAUAAUCUUAGAGUGAUGGAUUUGGUCCUAUUGCGCAGCUCUUGUUUGAAUCCAACCAUUGUAGGGAUGAGUCUUUUACUCGAAGGAUUAUCUGAGCCUCCUCACAUGUGAUGGUAUCCAGGUAAUGGCUAAUUGGCAUCACAAGGACACCUUCAACAGCUGAGGACUGGUUGAGUUGAGUCAGAGGUUUCCCUAGGGUAUGCCUAGGAUGAGAUAGUGCUGGGAGCAGUAGUAGUGGAUAAGGGACCUGGUGGAGUCGAAGCAAUUUCUGAGGAAAGUACGGAUAUAUGUGGAAGGUAGUAUGGGCCCGUACUACUGAAAGCAGAGGAUUCGUACUCGAUUCGGGAAAGGCUGAGACAAGACCAGAGACCUGUUAGGGUGUGUUUGGGUCUCGCAGCAGCAAUCAGUAUUUUGAUUGAGGAUGUAUUAUUUUUUUUUUCAGCAUGGUGACGUUGUGAGAGAGACCAGCGGGCGGAUCAGGCGCUAGAGAAGGACCAGGCUCGAGUUCAGGGGCCGAGCAGCUCGAGGAGCGAAUGAGGGAGUUGAGAUCCGCUGAGGUUACACGCAGUAUUCUAGAUCAGACUCCUGUGAUCUUUGGCACGGUCAAGGAGGGUAUAUUGGUGAUUUUGGAUGAGAGGCUGGGAGCCUUCCGUACCGAGAUAAUGGCUUUGAUGGGAGCGCGUACCUUGACAUUUCAAGAGUUUAGGACUGGCGGGGCACCAGAUUAUCAUGGGGCUAGGGACCCCAUCGAUAGCAGCAGAUGGUUGGCUGAUGUUACCAACGCGCUCCAUACAAGCCGGUGUCCUGAGGAGGACAAGGUCAGACUCGCUUCCUGUCUUCUGAAGGACAGAGCGAGGGAUUGGUGGGAAGAGAUUGGUCAUGCUCUGGGGGAUGAUGCCGCGUUGGACGCGAUGACUUGGAGCGAUUUCUCGGCCAGGUUCAGGGCAGAGUUUUCGCGAAUUAUUGGGGUGCAGCAGUUGGUACGGGAGUUUCAGGAUUAGACGCAGACCACUAAGACUGUGGCGGAGAUCACCACCAAGUUCAGGGAGAGGACUCUUCUUGUACCGCAGUAUGUCGCAGAUGAGGAGAUGAAGAAGGCCCGAUAUCACAAGAUGUUGAGGGCUGACAUCAGGGAGUUCGUGAGCAGGUCCGGCUGUAAGACGCUGGAAGAUAUGAUUUCUCGGGCCAGGGAGAGGGAAAUUGAUUUGGAGCAGAUCCGGAAGAGGAAGUCGGAUGAGGUUCAGGUAGCCGCGAGUUCGGGCAAAAGGCCCAAGGGAUCGUAUUCGAGAUCGAGGGAUUAUCAGGACCGCAGNNNNNNNNNNNNNNNNNNNNNNNNNNNNNNNNNNNNNNNNNNNNNNNNNNNNNNNNNNNNNNNNNNNNNNNNNNNNNNNNNNNNNNNNNNNNNNNNNNNNNNNNNNNNNNNNNNNNNNNNNNNNNNNNNNNNNNNNNNNNNNNNNNNNNNNNNNNNNNNNNNNNNNNNNNNNNNNNNNNNNNNNNNNNNNNNNNNNNNNNNNNNNNNNNNNNNNNNNNNNNNNNNNNNNNNNNNNNNNNNNNNNNNNNNNNNNNNNNNNNNNNNNNNNNNNNNNNNNNNNNNAGGACGGGUGAUGGCACCUGCCCCUGCAACUUUGAGGAUCACAGACGGCCAUCAGGGCCAUGCAGAGGCACCUGCGGUAGGAGGCAGGGCUUUUCAGAUGACUACCUUGGAGGCGCGAGCAGCAUCGGACGUUGCAGGUAUGCAAUUUCCGUUUUCAAUUCUUUUAUUUGUGCAUGAUUAUAUUGUUAUGGUUCUGCAUCAUUAUCGGUAUGAGUAUUUUAUUUUGUGCAGUUCGAUCGUGAUCGAGUUAUAUUCCAUCUGCAUACCUUGGAUAUUUGAAUGGUAGUUAAGGGAUGUGCUCUAUUGGGGAAGGUUGCUUAGGAUGCAGUAACUGUAGCAUGCCUGGGAGGGACUUGGUAUGUCUCACUAAUUCAAAGCCGUAUGCUUUUAGAAAUGGAUUGGUUAGAUCCCUAGCUAUGGUAAGCUUGGGGUUCCUCAGCAGGUUGUUUAAGGAAUGGUAGCGAGGAUGUGGAUUUCUUUUCGAGCAUUGAGCAGCAAGGGUUAAGUAGGAGCGAAGUGGGGGAGAAUCCUCCGAGCGGGCAAAGGUAAGAGCACGCAGAUCAAGAAUGAGUGCGCGACCUCCGAGAAGGAAAAAGAAGUGGUACAUCAUUGAUGGAUUGAGAAGUCCAGGGUUGGGAGCUUGAGAAACUCCCCCCCCCCCUCAGCCAAUGCGUGUACUGGUGAUGGUUAGUAUGUGGUUGGAAAUUCAGGAUGGGGGAUCGCCUGUAGGGCUCGAGUGAGUCAGAAGGAAUAUCUUGAGAACUGAUAGCAUGGGGUGCUUUCACAUUAGCAGUCAGUGGUCGAAAGUGUUGUAAGACUACGGGGCAGCCGUAGCAUUCACUAGCAGUCAGUAGUGGAAAGUGUUGUAAGACUACGGGGUAGCCGUAACAUUCAGUAGCAGUCAGUAGUGGAAAGUGUUGUAAGACUACGUGGCAGCCUUAGCAUUCACUAGCAGUCAGUAGUGGAAAGUGUUGUAAGACUACAUGGCAGCCGUAGCAUUCACAAGCAGUCAGUGGUGGGAAGUGUUGUCAGACUACGGGGCAGCCGUAGCAUUCACCACCAGUCAGUGGUGGGAAGUGUUGUCAGACUACGGGGCAGUCGUAGCAUUCACAAGAAGACAGUGAUAGAAGGUGAUGUAAGACUACGGGCAAGCUGUAGCAUUCCGUAGUAGCUUUGUUGGCGGAAUGGGUAGUGGAUGAGAAUGAUAGGGAGUUUGUCUGUAUAGCCCUUGAGAGGUGAGACCUUGGGAGAGACCGCUCCAGGAUAUAGUUGGGUGAGACCCGUGGGCGAUGCCCAUAUGAGAAUAGCAGUAUAGGUGAGACCUGAGAGCAAGGUUGCUCAGUAAUAUGGUCUGGUGAGACCCGUGAGCGAGGCCCAUGAGUUUUAGGAGCACAGGUGGGACCUGGUUGGGACCUUAGUGUCAAGAUAGGGGAUCAGGGAUCCCAGGAUUGUAGUGCCUGAAUGGCAAAAUAGAUUGAGCAAUUAUAGGUGGUCGAAGUUUUUUUCUAAGUCGCUGGCAGCGACUAGGAGUUGUGUUGGGUCUAGUUAUCGGUGGGAGCUCGUAAUCCAGAUGUUGAUAGGUUGGUAGGGACCAGGGUGGUCUCUCUUCAUCCAGAAGUCUGAUGAGGAAUGGCAGAAUUUUCAGUCAGUAGCAGUGCGGGUAAGCAGUCAAUGGUGAAAUUCAGUUAGUUGAUCGUGGGGUGCUCGACACCAAAUUAUAGUAGAAAGAUGUGCCCAGUGGAUACUGGUGAUAAUGACUCGUACUGGAGGUAGUAGGAGUAAUGGAUUGGUGAAGAUAGGAUCUUCAUAGUAACAGAGGAAAUAGUUGGUUAUGGAGCAUUUCCUUGGGGAGGUAAGGAAGUCGCGCAAAGAAAGAAGGGGUGAACCCCUAUGGGCUCAGUGCAGUACUCAGUGAGUACCAGAAGGAUUGUCAGUUGAGUAAGUUGCGUUUCCAGAAUGUUCAGGGUCAGGGUUGACCCGAGAUGAUUAUUCGCCAGGAUUAAUGUUAGUCGGAAUGACUAGGCGGAAGACCAGUGAAGGUAGGCAGCUGGUGCUGGAAUAAUUGGUGGGGUAUUGGAGGCAGAUCGCAGGCGGUGGGCCAUAGAAAACUUCGAGGACGAAGUUUAGUUUAAUUGGGGGAGAGUUGUAACACACAAAGACUGGAAGGCCAAGAAAGGAAAGAAAACCCUAAUUUUAAAGGACGACUCGGCGAGGCCAAGGAGGAACUCGGCGACUCCGAGCGGGAUCCGGGUCAAGGAGUAAGUGACCGACUCGGUGAGUCGGUCAAGGAGACUCGGCGAGUCUGGUCUGUGCGAGGAAAACUCUAAAUUCGGGACUUGGAGCCUAUUUAAACGUCUCAUUCUCUCCCCUAGGGUUCCUUUACUGCCUCUUUCACCCAGAACAUCGAACCCUAAGCCCCAUGGCUGCUCAAUCAAGCNNNUGAGUGAUUUAGGAAGAAGAAGAAGGGGAAUCAUUGAAGCUUAAAGGAUUGGCCUUAGAUCUGAAGAUUGAGGAAACUUUCUGAGUUAUUGAAGGUAUUAAUUCAUUUCCCUCCUUUAGAUCUAUUAUGGUUGUGAGUUUUGGGGGAUUUUUAGCCAUGAUUAGAUAUCCAUUUGAGUUUGAAGCCAGAUCUGAAGUUCCUACUUCGGAUCUAAGCAUAUUAUGGUCUUGAGAAGCAUAAAGUAUCUAUCCUUGAGUUGAUUAUGGAGCCUCUUUUCCUUAAACCCUAGUUUCUGGUGUAUUUUGCCUAGAUCUCCUUCUCUACACGUAAAGUUUACAACUUUACGUGAGGAAUAGGCUUGGGAAGGGUAGAUAUACAGUUUGGAGUCCAUGCAUGACUCAAAAGUCCUCUGCAUGUAUGAAGAUCUGAAUGGACUCGACGAGUCCUUUGAGUGGACUCGGCGAGUAUCAUGAAGAUUUGGAGGAACUCGGCGAGUUGGAAGAACAACUCGGCGAGUUUGUUGAAGGUUGUCUUGCACUCGACGAGUCUGUCCUUGGACUCGGCAAGUCAGGUCGUGAAACCCCCAAACCCUUCGAGUAGAGACUCGAAUCGGUGAGUCGAGUGGAGACUCAUUGAGUUGGACAACUCAGGACUCGGGAAUCGGUAGACUCGGCGAGUCAUGGACUGACUCGACGAGUCGAGUCGCGAAUGGAAGGGCUCUGAACAUAUGAACUCGGCGAGUCAGUAGGGUAACUCGGCGAGUAGGGUUGACCUGGAAGGUUGAUCUUGACCAGGACCUUGAAUUUGAUUAGAGUUGACUUGAUUGUCUUUCAGGAAUCAGUUAGACUCAGUGUUGCAUUGAUAUUGGUAGCUCGGGGAGCGAGCGGAGCAGGAGUUUAGAGAGUUGUCGGGCAGCAGCUAGUGGGAUCAUCAGCAAGUUCAGCCAGUGCAGGUGAGUUUCCCUUCUGUGUGAAUGGGUCUAUGGCCACAAUGUCGGGCCAUGUAGUUGUGAGUAGAAGACCCGGGGGUUAGCCCUAGGCACAGUAUGCUAGUAUGAUAUUCAACACGAGGUCCAAUGGUAGCGGGGGGUGCCCAAGGAAUGGUUUAUGUGAUAGUGUAUACUUGUUGUCUGUGUGAUGCUUGUUUGCGCCUGGUAGGGAGGUGAGUGUGGGCGAGGUCCCGUAACUCACCAAUAACAGAGUGUGGAUGGUGUUCCACAUCUCAUUAGCAUCAGAUCAGGGGCGAGGCCCGAGUUAGGUAAUGCGUGAGUGUGGGAUGGGCCCAUAUCUCACAAUCAGUAGGAGCAUGGACGGGGUUCCAUGACUCAUCAGUAACAGGAUAGGGGAGAGGCCCAAGAUAGGCGAGGCCUUAGGACAGGAUCAGUUCGUAUGUGUUUAGCUUAUGUGUUGUGAUAUGUUUAUGUGUUAUUAAUUGUUGGCGAGGGAGGCCCUGUGACAGGCGAGGCCUAAGUGAAACAAAUCUAUAUCCGAGCGGGGCUCGAAGCCAGGUGGGGCCUGGAGCAGUGGGGCUGUUGUAUCGGGCGAGGCUCGAGGUAGGGGGCGAGGCCCAGGAUAGCGGGCGUGGCCCAGUAUGUGCAGUAUGUGGUUAUGCAUGGUAUAUGGUAGGAUGGGGAACUCACUAAGCUUCGUGCUUACGGUUUUCAGUUUUGGUUUCAGGUACUUCCGGUAGCGGAGGGAAGAGCUCGGGGUGAUCGCAUGGCACACACCAUAGAUUAGACAGCCUGGGAAUGUUUUACUCUGAUAACGAACAUGUGUUUUGGAAAGUAAUACUCUGAUUAUGUUUGGAUUGAUGAUUUUGCUUUAAGUAAUGUUCUAUUAAAAGAAAAUUUUUAGUCCUGAAUUUUUGGACGUUACAUUAUAAACCUCAAAAGUCAACCUUAAAAGUCAAAUUUAAAAAGUUAAACUCAAAAGUCAAACUUGAAAAGUCAAACUUAAAAGUCAAACCGAAAAGCUAAAUUUGAAAAUUUAAAAGUUAAACGAAAAAGUCAAUGUUUAAAGUCAAAGNNNNNNNNNNNNNNNNNNNNNNNNNNNNNNNNNNNNNNNNNNNNNNNNNNNNNNNNNNNNNNNNNNNNNNNNNNNNNNNNNNNNNNNNNNNNNNNNNNNNNNNNNNNNNNNNNNNNNNNNNNNNNNNNNNNNNNNNNNNNNNNNNNNNNNNNNNNNNNNNNNNNNNNNNNNNNNNNNNNNNNNNNNNNNNNNNNNNNNNNNNNNNNNNNNNNNNNNNNNNNNNNNNNNNNNNNNNNNNNNNNNNNNNNNNNNNNNNNNNNNNNNNNNNNNNNNNNNNNNNNNNNNNNNNNNNNNNNNUAUAUAUAUAUAUACAUAUAUUAAUUUUGGAUGAAAAAAGAAUUUAAAAUUAAAAGGAAUUGAAUUUUGGGUUAAAAGUGUCAAAAAUGAUUAGAACCGAGAAAGACGCUUUAUGAAUUAAAUUUGGAAGGGAUGUAACAAAGGAUCAUGUAGCCUAGUUGGAUAAGGCAUUGAUUUGAAGAGUUGGAGGUCUCGGUUUCGAAACCCAGCACCCUCAAAUUCACGACUUAUUUCUAAUGCGAGGCGAGAAGCUGCUUGCGAGGACGAGGCUACUGAGCGAGGCUGCUGCUUGCGAGGCUGAGAAGUCAGAAGCCGGAAACGUGCGAGACUGAGCCGCAAACUGCUGAGACGUAUACUCCGAGCCGAGGCCACAAACCUCGGCCAGUGAACUCCUCGGAAACCCUAGUUGCUGGCUGCCACCCCCUCGCAGGUUACGACCAUUAACAAUGAUUUUUUCCCUUUUUUGCUCCAAAANNNNNNNNNNNNNNNNNNNNNNNNNNNNNNNNNNNNNNNNNNNNNNNNNNNNNNNNNNNNNNNNNNNNNNNNNNNNNNNNNNNNNNNNNNNNNNAUUUUUCAGAGAUCUAUCCAAAAAGACAACAAUAUUUCGACAAUAAGAUCAAAUAAUGCUCCAAAUCUGACAAAAUUGACUGAUACAACCAAGCUCUGAUACCAAUUGUAAGUCCCUAAUUUGCCUGAGUAUCAAUCAAAUCCGUUUGAUGGUGCGCAAUCCGAAUCAAACGGAUGAUGUCAGAUCAAAUAGAAGAGAAUGAGAAGAAGAUGAUGAUGAAUCUUGUAUGUAUUGAUAUGAAUGAAGAUCCUGAUACAAAAGAUUCACACACACUCGUUUUUCUCUCUUUAGGCCGUAAACUCCUUGUGUUUUCAUCAAUCUCUACUUCUCACCGUAAAACCUAUAUAUAUACUAGGAAACAUGGGCUAACUGAACAUGGGCCGUAAAUGGGUUUACGGCCGUAAACCUGUUUACGGCCGUAAACUCAGCCGUAAAUCCCACCUGGCCGUAAACUAGACUGUAAGCUAAUAAAACAUUACAUAAAAAUAUAAUUGCCCAGAAAAGCAUAGUAUAAACCAUAUUUUGACCCAACAGUCAUUUUUUGAUUCUUAUUAUAUUUAAAUUGACUAGCUCGUAUGAUGACUCUGCACAUUACCUUUCCAUCCUAGGUGAUAACCAUACCUCUCAUAUCCUUUCUAAUGAGUUUCUAAUUCUUAGUCCUCUUGUCCGCUAAUAGUGUUGUACCUAAUUUUUCCUAUGAAGUUGUUCUCUGUCAAAGAAUCUUGCUCUUUCUAGAAUAGAUUUAACCUAAAUUAAGGUCCUUACUUCAACUACCGUAACAUACCGAUGAGUAAUGUUCUAAUCAUCUCUUAUCGUAUGAUGCAACGGUUAGACUCAAGUCCCUUUGAGUCAGACUUUUACAUGAAACAUACUUCCUUUCAUGUUCUAGUUGCUUUAAUCACAUUCUAACAUGUAGCACUUUUUGCUACAGGCUGCUUGAUUUUAACGGCAAACAUGAUACCUCUACUGAUCGCUAUGAAUAUCUUUUCCUUUAAUCUAAAGCCAGACGCUACGUCGAACUUACUUUAUAGAUUAGUCAGAAUCGAUUUGAUAUGACCACUAAGGCUGGAAUGAUAUUUGUAGUCAUUAUCGAAACAAAGGUAAUGAUGAAAAUGAAUAAACUAACUCAAUUACUGAGAGACUUAGUAACUUUGUGAGUUUCCCUGUUCCAAGAAUAGUCAUGUGAUUCCGUUAGUAUAGGCCUCUACUACUUUUCACACCUACUCAUACUCCUCCCAAGUAUUGUCUCACAAUCCACUCAGUUUUAUUCCUAAAAUCACAAAAACAUUUAACACAUACAAAUGUGUCCAAACAUUCAUAAAAUUUUCCCUAGACUCUACUAUGACUUCUUCCAUGCUUAUCAUCAAUAGUAAUUCUCCUUCAACUUAGUUGGUGGUGGAAAUUUCUGAUGAUGGGAUAAGUUCAGGGAUUAUACCAAAAGUUCUUUCUUUCUGCUAAUUGAAAGUGUACUUCUCCCACAUCAUACAUAUUAUUUAUUAGAUGCAUUCUAAAGACAAGAUACCUAUCUUAUGAUUUCUUCAGAUAAGUAUCAUUUACUAUCAUCGGUUUUCUUAUUUCCUCCAUUUGCUCAGUUUGGUACGAGACCUUAUCAUGAUGUUUCGUAUACCGCAUUAGUUGUUCAAGACAAGAAAUUUAAGAUAGAGAAGUUUUUGACGCAUAAUCAUCCUUAUCACUCUGAAAAGUUACAUGCUAGUUCUAAUAUCGUCAUUAAAUGUUUAGAAAGUCGAACACAUAAAAUUUCCUAACUCUAGGUCGGCAACAAACAUUAAAACUAGUAAUAUCAAUUUAGAUAGGCAACCUAAGGGAUCUCAUAGAUAUAGCACGCAAAGGUCAUUUAGCACAAUAAGCGAACUAGGAAUCUAAUCCUAAAGUAAGCUAGUGUUUGUGUCGAUUCAGGUGUACUACCUAAAAUACAAUAGACACACUCCUAAAGAAAUCGUUAAUCGGUAAACAAAAUGUCGAACACUGAGAUUGAACAUGGUUUUUAGGUAAAUAAACUUGAAAGACAUCAUUUGGGACAUGACUCUGGAAAAAGGUUGUCGUUUCUAGGUUCUAGAAACCAACACAAGAUCCAAAGAAUUAAGGAUAUCAAGAGCUAUUCCUAACAACCGUAAGCAACAACUAGGUGCAAAACAUAUCUAUAAGCCAAAAAAAAAAACCAAACUGAUUCGAUAACAAAAUCCCAAAACACAAGUUCACAACAAGAUUUCGAAGCAAUCCAAGGCUAUAAUCUUUUUUCCAGAUGUAUAAUCUUGCCCUUAGAUAUCAAAUCAACCUAGGAGUCACCUUAAACUUGGUUAUAACUCAUAAAAAUCCAUAGAAAAUAUGUUUGAAGCAAAAUUCUAAAAUAAAAGAGCAUAUAAGAAUUUCAAUUUUUUUAGAGAUAUUUUUCAUGUUUCCAUAUGCUUACACUUGAUCUAAAGUGUAAAUAAACUUGAAAGACAUCAUUUGGGAUAGUUUAAAAAGGUUUUAGAGCCCUCCAAAUUCGACAACCAAGCUUUCAAAAUUGGAAACCCAAGAAUAUGCGCUUUCUCGGCUGUAGAGGGUUACCGGGGGCUCCUCCGGCAACCAAAGCACCGGGAACGGGUCAAGAGAAGUUACGGAGAGUGAAUGAGACCCUUACCUGCAUCGGAGUUGACCUAAAUUGAGCUAUGAUGACCUUUCUUCCUGGAAAAACCCUAGUUGUCGAACACAAGAUUCACAACUUUUACCCUCGUUUUCUAGACUGAAGAAGAGGAUUGGUUGACUAACACCCCAUUCCCGAGUUCAACUUAACAAGAGAAAAGAAAGGAAACUGGUGGAAAUGAUACGAAAAUAAAAGAAAUUGGUGUUCCCAAGUUUCAUUAAAUAAAGGAAGUGGAAGGAAGUUGAGUGAUCACUUUCCCUCCUAACUUUCCAUACGAUUUGGGAGGAUUUGGAAAGAUAUAGCAAAACGAUUAAUUUUCCUUCUACUUCUCUCCAACUUAGGAACACAAAAGAAAUUCUUUUUCCUUUCUUUUUUCUUCUUUUCUCUCCUGACUUUCUUUUCUCUUCUUCUCUUUUCUUUUGUUAAACUCAGGAACUAAGCGUAAGUGUUGAUUGAGAUUUGUGUACUUAAGAAUAGAAUCAGUGUGCUUUCAAUAAAAUUGAGUCUUGCAUGGUUAAACAGAGAAAUCGAUUUUGCGAUAUAACACCGUGGUAGCGACAGGUUUUAAGGGGUAAAGAACACAUGAAUUUUUUAUUCUGGUAUCAUUGGUCCCUCAACUUUGCAUGCUAGCAGCUCCACGCCUCCACCCCCAUAUUUGGAUUCUAUAAUUCUACUACAAAAAUAGUUUCAAAAAUUACCAACCAACGCCUGGAGAUCCGUAUUUCUAUUAUUUUUAUUUAGUGGAUUUAAUUAAAUACCAAUUUUGUAUUUUAUUUAUUUAUUUAUUAUUAUUAUUAUUAUUAUUAUUAUUAUUAUUAUAAUUAUUAUUAUUAUUAUUAUUAUUAUUAUUAUUAUGUAUCGGGCAUCGGGAAAAUGAGUGUUACAAUUCUCCCUAGUUGAAUCGGGUUUCUUCCUUGAAAUUUUUGCAGUAAGCAACUCUAGAUAGUGCUCUAAUAUCUCUUCUUGAGGUUUCCAAGUCCACUUGGAGCCCUUCUGGUGUAGCCAUUUCACCUUCACUAACACCACCACCUUGUUGUGUUGGGUCUUCGUUUUCGUGUCUGAAAUUGCGAUCGGUCUCUCUACAUAAUUCAUGCGUUCAUCAACAUGAAUAUCAUCCAACGGAACUACAACGAACUCAUCCGCUAAACAUUUAUGCAACUAGGAAACAUGAAAGGUGUCGUGGAUCUGACUAAGAUCCACAAGGAGUUCCAACUGAUAAGUGACCUUUCCCACCUAAGUAACAACUCUGAAUGGACUGAUGUAUGUAGGUGCCAACAUUAACCACAUCAAGAAUCGAAUGACACCCUUCCUAGGUGACAACUUCAAAAGCAUAAAAUACUCAACCCAGAACUCAAUAUUGAAACAGUUCCGAUCAACAUAACUCUUCUGAAUGCUCUAUACGGUCUGUAUCCUACCACACACCUCUUGGAUCAAGUAUUUAGUAUUCACCAUCAACUCAGCACUCACUCGUUGUCCAACCUUAGCCUAACAAAUCAUGGUUUGAAACUUCCUCUCGAAGUACAACUAGAAAGGAGACAUAUCAAUACUCGUAAGAUAGUAAUUGUUGUAAGAGAACACUACUAAAGGAAGAUAGUUCUCAACUCCCACCAAAAUCCUAAUCAAAUGCCCUAAGAAUAUCCUCGAGAGUUUGAAUGGUCCACUCGCACUGACCUUCGGUCUAUAGGUGGUAAGCAGUGCUGAAAUGCAAUUGCAAACCCAACUCCUUGUGGAACUUAUUCCAAAACCUAGAUGUAAAAUGAACAUCACAGUCAUAAACAAUAGAGACUAUUAAACCAUUCCAUAAGACUACCUACUUAAUGUAGAUAUCGGAUAACUUGUUGGUGGAAGAACUAUCAUGUAUCGGGAUGGAGUUAGUACUUUUGGUCAACCGGUCAACAAUAACCUACAUCGAAUGAACCAUAUGUAACGUCCGCAACAAUUUCAUGAUGAAAUCCAUAGUAAUCUCUUCCCAUUUUUACAUCAGGAUAUCCAACAGCUGCAUCUUGUUGUGAGGCCUCUGAUUGUUGACGUUGACUUUUCGAUACGUCAAGCACCUAUCCAUGUAACAAUCCAUAUCCUACUUCAUGUUGGCCCACUAAUAGUGAUGGGUUUUGAGCAUUCUAACACUUCUUAAGUGUACAUGCAACCCUAAUAACCUUGAAUCUAUGUUUUCACUAUAUACAUGUAAAUUUCUUUUUCAAGGUUAUAUCCUAACUAGCAUGGCAUGGGGAUUACAUAAACAUAAAAACUAGUAGAAAUACAUACCUUGUUGUUGAUUGGAUUCCUUCAAGACUUUGUGAGCCUAGCACCCCAAAUGUCGUGCCUCAAAUGCUUCACACAACACCACAAAACUUGGAAUAACUUGAGAGAAUACUUCUAGCACUCAAAAUCGGUUAUGCUCUCUCUAGUAACACUAGAUCACGAUUUUGCUAGCCAAAGGGUUCCUUUUAUAGUGGUGUCACAAUUAGGGUUUCAUUAAGAAGACCCAUAAUUGUCAUGACUCUUCAUUUCUCAUGACCCAUGGGUUUGUAACUCCCAUGGACUAUCCAUGGAGCUCUAAAUGGUUAUAUCCAUAACCCAUAAACCAUGUAUCAUUAAUCCACCAUAAAAGAAUUGAUGAUUUUCAUAAUCAACUCUUAUAUAUUUAAUUAGUCUCACUUUGAUCACCAAAUUAAUACUAGAUUAAUACUUGAUCAAUACUAAUUAAAUAAUACUAUUAUUAAUAUAUUAGAACUUAUAAUAUAUUAAUAAUCAUAAGUGCCAUAUUCUCUCAUUUAGUCUAUCCAAGUAUUGCAAUGCCAUGCAACCCAAAUGGACCAUGCCGGGUCGGGUCAAGUACAUACCAAAUAAAGUUAUGGACUUAGACACUAUAUCCAACAGUCUCCCACUUGGAUAAGUCUAAUAACUAUAUUUGCAAAUAUGACUUCAAAAUCCGACUAGCAAUCGUAGCUCUUUCAAAGUCUCUCGGAACUGAGAUGAUGAUGAUACGCCAUUUAAGAUAAGUGAUCAUAUAAUCCUCUGCUCUCAUGAUAUCAGCCGGACAAACACAUGGAACAUGGUCUUACUUAUUGUCCAGCAUUUGUUUCUCGAUCUCCGAUUUGUUUCGACAUAGAACUAAAUUGAACACAUCAAUUAGGUUCUGACCGGGCCCGGUACAUAGGUCAAAACCAAAUCAUCGAGGGGCCCAGAUAUCGCUUCUAUUUCUAGAAGGAACAGAUAAACUUCGACUGAUAUGCUUGUACUAACUACUUGUUGAAUUACUCACAAAGGCACGUUUUAUAACAUCGAGUUACCAAUGCGUUUUCGUACAAUCAAUGAAUAACCAACUCAUAGUCAACAACUCAUAUCUCUAGGUUUGAAGAUUUAUAUGAUAUUACCGUCUCACGAUCACUCGAGAUAAAUUCCAUGAAGUGAUGCAAGUGAGCGUGGGUUGAAUCCAAUACUCAGCCCUUAUGAGUACUCAUGAAUGUUGUAGCAACCAUUGCAUUGUCUAAAGCACUUUAGACAAAUCAUACAAGCCAGAUUCAUGACAGUCUUGAAUCAAUACUUACUUCCAAAGUUUGACCGACUGUGGAUGGUUUGAAUAAUAUGAUAUAUACCAUAACAUAAUUAUUCUGGAAGUAAAAACAUGCAAAAUUGAAACAUAGUAAACAAUCAACACAAGAUAGUAACACCUUACUCAUAAAUAAAUAACAACUUUUAUUUAUCAUCAAAUGUCAAUUACAUUUUACAAGUUUCAGGAAUCUAAUUAUUGAAACUAAUAUCAUCCUUCAGCCCAAUGCGCCUUGCAUGCUGUAAAUGCUUAACCCUGCUCAGUCCCUUCGUGAGGGGAUCUGUCGGGUUCUCAUCUGAUGAUACCCUCUUUGCCACGAGGAGUCCUUCUUCUAUUCUAUGUCUGAUGAAAUGGUAUUUUCUGUCAAUGUGCCUAGAUCUCCCGUGAUCUCUUGGUUCUUUCGCCAAAGCAACCGCACUUUCACUGUCACAGAAAAUUUCCAUUGGCUCCUUUAUAGCUGGUACAACUCCAAGGUCUCCGAUGAAGUUCUUCAGCCAUAUCGCCUCUUUUGCUGCCUCGCUUGCUGCUAUGUACUCUGAUUCACAAGUCGAAUCAGCUACUGUCUCCUGCUUGGAACUUUUCCAAGUAAUUGCUCCUCCAUUUAGGAUAAAGACCCAGCCUGACUGAGAGCGGAAAUUAUCCCUAUCAGUUUGAAAGCUAGCAUCACUAUAUCCUUCCACUCUCAAGUCAUCACUGCCUCCGAGGGUAAGGACCCAGUCCUUAGUCCUCCGCAAAUACUUGAGAAUGUUCUUUACCGCUGUCCAGUGUGCCUUGCCAGGGUUCCCUUGAUAUCUACUGACCAUGCUCAAAGCAAAGGCCACAUCAGGGCGAGUACAAGUCAUAGCAUACAUGAUCGAGCCCACAGCGGAAGCAUAUGGUAUCUGACUCAUCUCAGCUAUCUCAGCCUCUGUACUCGGACUCUGAGUCUUACUUAGCUUGGCAUUACUCUGGAUUGGUAAUUCUCCUUUCUUGGAAUCUUGCAUACUGAACCUCUUCAGUACCUUAUCCACAUAAGUACUUUGACUAAGUCCAAUUAGUCUCUUACUCCUAUCUCUCAAUAUCCUUAUCCCUAGGAUAUAGGCAGCUUCCCCAAGGUCCUUCAUAGCAAAACACUUCCCAAGCCAGGCCUUAACCUCCUGCAAAGUUGGGAUGUCGUUUCCUAUGAGAAGUAUGUCAUCCACAUACAACACCAAGAAGCUAACUAUGCUCCCACUAGCCCUGACAUACACACAAGACUCAUCCUCACUCCUAGAAAAGCCAAACUCUUUGACUUUCUCAUCAAAGCAAAGAUUCCACCUGCGAGAUGCUUGUUUCAAUCCAUAAAUGGAUUUUUCAAGCUUACACACUCUAUUAGGGUAUUUUGGAUCGACAAAACCCUCUGGCUGAGCCAUGUAAACAUCCUCAGCCAACUUCCCAUUAAGGAAAGCGGUUUUGACAUCCAUUUGCCAUAUUUCAUAGUCAUGAAAUGCAGCUAUGGCUAACAACACUCUAAUAGACUUAAUCUUAGCUACUGGUGAGAAGGUCUCAUCAUAGUCAACUCCCGGAGUUUGAGUAAAGCCCUUCGCAACCAGUCGCGCUUUAUAAGUGUGUACUUUCCCAUCCAUGUCGGUCUUCUUCUUGAAGAUCCAUUUGCACCCAACUGUCUUACGACCUGGUACAUUGUCAACCAAGUUCCAAACUUGAUUGUCAUACAUGGACUGAAUCUCGCUGUCCAUAGCCUCCUUCCAUUUCGCAGACUCAGGGCCUGCCAUGGCUUCCUUAUAAUUAUUAGGUUCAUCCAAAUCUAUCAGUGUACUAUCACUGAUAAAUGUAUCACCUUCAGUGGUGAUGUGAUAACCAUAAUAAAAUUCAGGUGUGUUCCUCACCCUAGUGGAACGUCUUGGAGGUACAGACUCAUCUAUCGGCUCAACAGGAGUUUCCUCCUCAGGUUGGCUGACAGCAUUUGAGGUUCCUUCACCACUUGACUCUUGAAGCUCUUCAAGGUCAAUUUGCCUCCCACUGUCCCCUUGGCUUAUGAAUUCUCUCUCACGAAAGACUCCUCUUCUUGCUACAAAGACCACAUUAUCACUGGGUCUGUAGAAGAGGUAACCAAAGGAUCUCUGUGGGUAGCCGAUGAAAAUACACCUCUCGCUUCGGGGCUCAAGCUUGUCAUGAGUCUCACGCCUCACAAAAGCUUCACAACCCCAAAUCUUGAUGUGGUCCAAAUUGGGCACUUUCCCAGUCCACAUCUCGUGAGGUGUUUUGGCAACCUUUUUAGUAGGGACUAGAUUAAGGAUAUGGGCGGCAGUCUCUAAGGCAUACCCCCAGAAAGAGAUUGGUAACGAAGCUCGACUCAUCAUGGAACGAACCAUAUCCAACAAGGUUCGAUUGCGCCUCUCAGCCACACCAUUCAACUGUGGUGUCCUGGGAGGUGUCAAUUGUGAGACAAUCCCACAUUCCUUAAGAUAGUCAAGGAACUCAAUGCUAAGAUACUCUCCUCCCCGAUCGGAUCGGAGCAUCUUGAUGUUCCUGCCCAAUUGAUUCUCAACUUCCUGCUUAAACUCUUUGAACUUUUCAAAGGUUUCUGACUUAUGCUUGAUUAAGUAAAUAUAUCCAUAUCUACUGUAAUCAUCAGUAAAAGUCACAUAAUAACGAUUAGCAUCCCUUGUAGCAACUCUGAAGGGCCCACACACAUCCGUGUGUACAAGGUCCAACAAACCUUCACCCCUAUCACAAGUACCUGUGAAGGGCGACUUUGUCAUUUUUCCAAGUAAACAAGACUCGCAACUAUCAUCUGACUUGAGGUCAAAUGAUUCCAAGACUCCAGCCUUUUGGAGUUGGCCUAUGCGCUUCUUGUUAACAUGUCCAAGACGACAAUGCCACAAGGAUGCUUUGUCCAAGCUAUCAGAAGAAUCAAUAUACAACACAUUAUUUCCUAAAUUGUCUACAACAUUCACAGCUUCAUAUACACCAUCACAAGGUAUUGCUUUAAAGUAAAAUACAUCAUUGUAAUAAACAUUAAUAGCACCAUUUUUAUUAUCAAAUGAAAAUGUAAAACCUUGUUUGUACAAGCCAUGAAAAGAAAUAAUAUUUCUCGCCAUUUCGGGCGAGUAACAACACUUAUUCAAAUCUAACAUUAACCCAUUAUUAAGCAAUAAAGAAUAAACUCCUAUCUUGGUAACAGGUGAUGCUUUCCUGUUGCCCAUGACUAAGUUUAUCUUCCCGUGCUCCACUUGCUCACUUCUUCUUAGUGCCUGCAAAUCAGUACAAAUGUGAAUACCACACCCUGUAUCAAGCACCCAAGAAUUAGCAUUAGAUGAGUUGUUAGACAAUAUUGUGUAAAUACCUGCAUGGGUGGGUUUAACCUUCCCAUCCUUUACAUCUUGCAGAUAUUUGGCGCAGCUUCGCUUGAAGUGUCCCUUAUCUUGGCAAUAGAAGCACUGUGCUUCCUUUGGGUUCGAAGAAGGAGUAAUGGGACCUUUCUUUGUCCCACUUGAAGAGGAACCAUCAAGAGUCUUACCCUUGGUACCCUUUGAAGGGCUUUUCCUCUUCUUACCCUUCCCUUGCCCAAUUGCAAGAACAGGGGCUGUUAAAGGAGUAGAAGUAGCAACCGCUUUACCCUUAAGGCCAUUUUCAGCUGUCCUUAAGAGUCCUUGAAGUUUGCUAAGUGUGACUUCCUCCUUGUUCAUAUGAUAAGUCAUACGAAACUGAUCAUAACUUGGAGGUAAGGAAUGGAGAAUGAUGUCAAUCGCCAAUUCCUCAGGGAAGUCAACAUUGAGCUUUAGCAACCGGUCAACGAACCUCUGCAUCUUCUGCAAGUGACCGGUGAUGGGUUCACCAUCCUUCAUCCUUGCGGUUAUCAUGGAGGAAAUGAUUUCAUACCUCUCUUGACGCGCGCUCUGAUGGUACCUUUCCAUCAGAUCUAGGUGCAUCUCAUAGGGGUAGAAAUCUUCAUAAGAUUUUUGGAGUUCCGGAGUCAUUGUGGCCAUCAUGAUGCAGGACACCUUGGUGGCAUCCUUCUCAUGCGCAAUGAACUCCGCAAGCUCUUCUGGAGUAGCAGUGGCUUCAUUAACAACCUUAAGCUCCCUGUCAAGGACAUAUUCUUUGUCCUCAUAGCGGGUAAUCAUCCUGAUGUUUCUGAUCCACUCAUUAAAGUUGGAUCCAUCAAAGAUGACCUUACCACACAAGUUCAUUAGGGAAAAGGAGCCUGUAGGGUUUGAGCCAGCAGCGUUAUUGGAAGACAUCUGGAAUAGAAGGAAGAUAAGUUUCAUUAGAUUAAGAGUCCUUAAUAAGUCACCCAAAUGAAAUAUUAAGGCUAGGAUCCAACAAACUAUUUAUAGGUGGAAGAGGGAUGCCGUAAUCCACACUAUAAAAUAUUUGAAGGUAGGUAAAUGACGAUUUACCAAUUUCCACCAUAAAAACGAAAUAUUUUAUUAUUAGGUUUUAUUGGUUUUGAAACUCCUAGAUCUUUUGAGAUACAUUGAACUUUUCAAUGGCAUGUUUGAAUCUCGAAUGUGCCCUCUCAAGUUUGUGACUGGGAUGCCGAGGAUCACAAACAAGGUGUGAAUAACCAUACAAAUUGACUUGGUACCCUUAACAAUAUUACCUAAUCGAUGUGCCGGUUAACCACACACGCUCCACCGAUCUAUAAUAAAGUCAAGUUACCCUUUGCCACUCUUACUAGUCCAUGUUAGUGUGCCGGUUAACCACACACGCUCCACUAACGACUUGGUAAGGUACAAAGUGUAAUUUUAUGGGCUAGCACCAAAUUCACAUUUUCCUAAAGUAACUAAGAUUGGGAAUUUAUAAUGUAUAGUUACUUUAUAAUUCAUUAUACUUUUAAUGAGAAUUUAAAGUCAUAUCCUACCCGUUCGGCUAACGACCCUCCACCGAUCAAGGAAGCGGUGGGUGAGAGUGGACACCCAUUAAGUCACCAUUUUAUAGGCAACAACCUUAUACCCCCCUUAUAGACCGGCUUCGUGAAUGAGGCCUACUAACGGUAAGAACGACAUAUUCUUAUACAUAUCUAUAUAAUAAAAUUAUAAUAAUAGUAUAAGUGUUGAUUUUUAAACUUUUUAAAAAUCUAAGGUUUAAUUUGGAAUUAAAGUAUUAGAGUGUAAGACUUUUCAAAUUCCAAAACUUGAGGGCAAGAAUUGAAACUAUUCCAAGUCUCUUCAAUUUGUAACUUAUGAGUUUUAAUGGUUCAUAAAAAUGAAGACUCUUCAUUUUAUGAAACCUCUUUAGUUCUUUAAUCACAAUUUAAAGAAGUGACUUUUGGUUAUCCAUAACUUGAGGACAAGUUAUGGACACCAUCAAUACAAUUAAGAUCAAGAAUUAAACACACAUGGAGGUUACACAUAAUUCCUAUGAUCUUCUAAAAACUCAUAAGAACACAAAUUCAUGCCAAGCAAUUUCAUGAAUCAUAUUAACAUAUACAAUUCUUGAAAAUUGAUAAAAGUCAUGUGAAAAUGGGUUAACAUAAUCAUUAUCAUUUUGAAAAACAGUUUUUACAAGUCCAAAACAGAUUGGGAUAAUGAUUUUAAUCCAUUUCCAGCAACAAAACACGAAAAGACUGCCCAGCACGCACCUACUCGUCGAGUGCAUGAUCCUACUCGACGAGUAGGAUGAAUUUGUACAUGGACUCGGCGAGUCCUCCCCAUGAACUCGGCGAGUCCAGUCGACAGUGAGCAGAAUUUUCGAUUUUCAAGCAGUUUUGCAUCAAGUAUACAGAAAACAAUCCUAGGCUCUGAUACCACUGAUGGGUUUUGAGCAUUCUAACACUUCCUAAGUGUACAUGCAACCCUAAUAACCUUGAAUCUAUGUUUUCUCUAUAUACAUGCAAAUUUCUUUUUCAAGGUUAUUUCCUAACUAGCAUGGCAUGGGGAAUAUAUGAAACAUUAAAACUAGUAGAAAUACAUACCUUGUUGUUGCUUGGAUUCCUUCAAGACUUUGUGAGCCUAGCACCCCAAAUGUUGUGCCUCAAAUGCUUCACACAACACCACAAAACUUGGAAUAACUUGAGAGAAUACUUCUAGCACUCAAAAUCGGUUAUGCCCUCUCUAGUAACACUAGGUCACGAUUUUGCUAGCCAAAGGGUUCCUUUUAUAGUGGUGUCACAAUUAGGGUUUCAUUAAGAAGACCCAUAAUUGUCAUGACUCUUCAUUUCUCAUGACCCAUGGGUUUGUAACUCCCAUGGACUAUCCAUGGAGCUCCAAAUGGUUACAUCCAUAACCCAUAAACCAUGGAUCAUUAAUCCACCAUAAAAGAAUUGAUGAUUGUCAUAAUCAACCCUAUAUAUUUAAUUAGUCUCACUUUGAUCACCAAAUUAAUACUAGAUUAAUACUUGAUCAAUACUAAUUAAAUAAUACUAUUAUUAAUAUAUUAGAACUUAUAAUAUAUUAAUAAUCAUAAGUGCCAUAUUCUCUCAUUUAGUCUAUCCAAGUAUUGCAAUGCCAUGCAACCCAAAUGGACCAUGCCGGGUCGGGUCAAGUACAUACCAAAUAAAGUUAUGGACUUAGACACUAUAUCCAACAGUCUCCCACUUGGAUAAGUCUAAUAACUAUAUUUGCAAAUAUGACUUCAAAAUCCGACUAGCAAUCGUAGCUCUUUCAAAGUCUCUCGGAACUGAGAUGAUGAUGAUACGCCAUUUAAGAUAAGUGAUCAUAUAAUCCUCUGUUCUCAUGAUAUCAGCCGGACAAACACAUGGAACAUGGUCUUACUUAUUGUCCAGCAUUUGUUUCUCGAUCUCUGAUUUGUUUCGACAUAGAACUAAAUUGAACACAUCAAUUAGGUUCUGACCGGGCCCGGUACAUAGGUCAAAACCAAAUCAUCGAGGGGCCCAGAUAUCGCUUCUAUUUCUAGAAGGAACAGAUAAACUUCGACUGAUAUGCUUGUACUAACUACUUGUUGAAUUAUUCACAAAGGCACGUUUUAUAACAUCGAGUUACCAAUGCGUUUUCGUACAAUCAAUGAAUAACCAACUCAUAGUCAACAACUCAUAUCUCUAGGUUUGAAGAUUUAUAUGAUAUUACCGUCUCACGAUCACUCGAGAUAAAUUCCAUGAAGUGAUGCAAGUGAGCGUGGGUUGAAUCCAAUACUCAGCCCUUAUGAGUACUCAUGAAUGUUGUAGCAACCAUUGCAUUGUCUAAAGCACUUUAGACAAAUCAUACAAGCCAAAUUCAUGACAGUCUUGAUUCAUAUCUACUUCCAACAUAUGACUGACUGUGGAUGGUUUGAAUAAUAUGAUAUAUACCAUAACAUAAUUAUUCUGGAAGUCAAAACAUGCAAAGUGAAACACAAGAAUAAUACUAAUCUUAUAUGGCCCCAACACUUUGAGUGUAAAUAAAACACCUUUUAUUUAAGCACCAUAUUGAUUACUCAUUAUUUAUGUUUCGAUUAAUCAACUUUAUGCUUGAAUUAAAACAUUAGUUGUCCCAUG